UUUUUUUUUCGUUUCCAAGAGGCAUGAUCGUGCCUCUCGCGAAAACAAAAACGUGACUUUCACAAAAAAAACUUUUUUUGCGCAAAACAAAUUGUUUUUUUGAAUUUUUUUGAUUGAAAAGCUAGGGAAGACCGAUGAAAAACCAAAACGUAAAACCCCCCCGAAAAAAACAGUGUAAAAAGCCGAAAACGCGUGCAAAAAAAAUUAGAAGGGAGCGCCCAGAGUGUGACAUGUGGCGAAUGGCUGGGAACACGCCAAGUCGCGAUGAUCGUUGCGAGGCUCCCGAAGGAGCGCUCGUUAGUUAGUUGCCCCCGAAAACAAGUAAGCUGAAAAUAAAAUAAAACUAAUACAUAGGCAUAUUAUAUAUCAUAAUUUAAGAAAAAGAAUUCCUACAGCGUGAACUAUUUCUCAGGGCCAACUAAAAUCUACAAAAAAUCAAACAAAGCAAACAGUGCUAGUGUUGCAAUAAAACCCAAUAAAAAUCAUUUUUUUAAAUACCAAAAUGAUUUCAAAAUUAUUUUCUCCUAAUUUUCCAUAGAAGGGAACCAUUUUACCCUUAUUUCCAUUUAGUUAUUUUUAGGAGAAAAAAUAAUUUGAUUAAAAGCCAAAUAACUCCUAAAUGGUUUAGAAAUUGAAAAUUCAAACCACUUCCAAAUCUUUUCUGUUUUUCCUCAUUCAAAUAUAUUUCAAAUUUGCCCCUUGUUUGGAGCGUCAUAUUUCUCCUCUCUUUAUUUUGAAAUGGGUCAGGGGAAUUUGAAACUAUUCAAAUGGGAAGGAUUCCAAAUGGAAUUUGAAAAGUGGUUUAACUCCCCACUCUCUUUCAUUUAAACUUUGGAGAAGUCAUUUCAUAUCCUCUCUUGAAAGUCCUUGAGUGGCAUGAAGUUUGCAUUACUUUCAAAUGAGGUUUUAAAUCAUUUCAGAUGGAAACACUUUUGGGAUAGUCCUUUUAUUCCCUCUCAUUCAACUUUCAAAAGGUUUCAAAUUGCACUCAAUUUCACUCAAUCAUUCACACAACAAUCAUAUAAAUAAUCAAAACUAUUUAUUUAAUAUAACAUUCCAAAAUUUAGAAUUUUGGGAUGUUACACAACACCAACAACAUAAUCACUAGCAUCACACAUAAUCUCAAAAGGCAAGUUCCAAUCAGGUGGUUGAACAACAUGUGCAGUAAUUAAGGCUUUCUUUAGUGUUUCAAAGGCUUCCCAACAAUCAUCAUAAAAACAAAGGGAAUAUCCUUUUGCAAAAGAUUCGUGAGAGGCCUAGAAAUUUUAGAAAAGUCUUUGAUAAACCUCAUAUAAAAACCAACAUGACCAAGGAAACUACAAAUACCUUUGAUAUCUUUAGGGCAUGACAUUUUCUCAAUUGCAUUAACCUUGGCUUUGUCCACCUCAAUGCCUCUUUCAGAAAUUUUAUGGCCCGAGACAAUAUCUUCGUUAACCAUAAAGUGGCACUUCUCUCAAUUCAAGACGAGAUUUGUUUGUUCACAUCUCUGCAAGACUCGAUCAAGAUUGCUUAAAAAGUCAUCAAAAGACUUCCCAUAAACAGAAAAGUCAUCCAUGAAAACCUCAACAAUCUUUUCAUAAAAAUCAGAGAAUAUAGCAGUCAUACAUCUUUUAAAGGUAGCAGGUGCAUUACAUAAACCAAAAGGCAUAUGUCUAUAAGCAAAUGUUCCAAAAGGACAAGUAAAAGUGGUCUUUUCUUGAUCCGAUUGUAAAAUAGGUAUUUGUGAAAAGCCAAAGUAUCCAUCAAGGAAGCAAAAAUGUGUGUGCUUGGAUAAUCUUUCUAACAUUUGAUCAAUAAAAGGCUGAUGGUAAUGAUCCUUUUUAUUAGCUUUAUUUAAUUUUCUAUAAUCAAUUACCAUCCUAUAGCCUGUGACAAUUCUUUGUGGAAUAAGCUCAUUCUUAUCAUUAGGGCAACAGUAAUACCUCCUUUCUUAAGGACACAAUGAACAGGACUUACCCAUCUACUAUCAGCUAUAUGAUAGAUUAUACCCGCUGACAGAAGUUUCAAUAUUUUCGUACUUACCACUUCUUUCAUCUUCAGAUUUAACCGGCGUUGGUGAUCAACAAUGGGUUUAGCAUCAGGUUCCAUAUUAAUCUUGUGCUGACAUAGAGUGGGACUAAUGCCCUUAAGAUCAUCAAGAGUAUAUCCAAUAACAGCUCUAUGCUUCCUUAGAACUUUCAAUAAUCUUUCUUCUUCAUGUUCUGAAAGGUUAGCACUAAUAAUAACAGGAUAUAUCUUUUUCUCAUCAAGAUAAGCAUAUUUCAAAGUGUCUGGCAAUUGUUUCAAUUCAAACACAAGAUCACCCUUAGGUGGAGGAGGACCUCCUAGAGUUUCAAUAGGCAAAAAUGUGUUUAAGCAGAGGUUGUUGUUCGAAAAAGAUUCUAUCUAUUUCAUUCCUUUCACGCAUAUGCAAAUCAUUUUCAUGGUGUAGCAAAUAUUGUUCCAAAGGAUCAGUAGGAGGCACAACAAUAGAAGCAAGACCAAUAUUCUCAUCCUUACUAGGCAAAUAUUUCUUAUGAGGUUGUCUACUAAACUUGAAAAAAAUAAAUUCAUGAGAUUCAUUACCAAAACUAACACCGACAGUUUGUUUCUCACAAUCUAUUUUGGCAAUGACGAUGUUCAAGAAAGGUCUACCAAAAAUAAUGGGACAAAAGUCAUCUUGUGGGGAGCUAAGAACAAGAAAAUCAGUAGGGUAUUUUAUUUUCCCACACAAGACUUCAACGUCUCUAAGAAUCCCAAUUGGUGAUAUUAUAUCUCUAUUAGAAAGUUUAAUAGUGACAUCUAUGCAUUCUAUUUCAGCAGGUGCUAUUUCAUCUAUAAUUUCUUGAUAUAAGGAGAAAGGAAUAGCACUCACACUAGCACCUAGGUCACAUAACCCAUGAUAACAGUGAUCUCCUAUCUUAACUGAGACAACAGGCAUGCCAACAACUGGUCUAUGUUUAUCUUUUCCUUCAGGUUUGGCAAUUCUAGAAGCUUCACCACAGAAGUAAAUAACAUGCCCAUCAAUAUUAUCAACUAAGAGAUCUUUAACCAUAGCAGCACUAGGUUCAACUCUGAUUUGUUUAGAUAGUUUGGGUGUUCUAACAUAAUUUUUGUUAACCAUAGUUGAAGCUUUAGUAUGUUCCUUCAUCCUAACAGGGAAAGGUGGAUUUUCAAUAUAAGCAGUGGGAACAACUGGAUCAACAUUAUAAAUGAUGGUUUCUUCUUUAGCUUUUAUCAGUUCUUUAAUUUCUUCUUUAAUAGGUGGGUGAUAUUUAAAACACUUCUCCUUGGGGAGAUCAACAUGAGUAGCAAAAGAUUCACAAAAGGAAGCUACUAUCUCAUAGUCAAGUCCAUAUUUAGUGCUAAACUUUUGAAAAGCAUUGGUAUUCAUAAAAUAUUUAACACAAUCAAACUUAGGUUUAAUACCUGACUCUUUACCUUCGCCGAGUUCCCAGUCUUCAGAUUGAGUUUAAUUCUUUCUAAAAGAUCCCACCAGAAUUUAAUAGUUUUCUUCAUAAAGGAACCAAUACAAGAAGUGUCGAGCAUGGUUUGAUCAUUACGAGAAAGCCAAGCAUAAGAAUUCUGAAUAAUAAUUUCUCUUGAUAACUCAUGAUUGGGGCAUGAAUAUAAAAUUGAAUUAAGACUCCCCCAAGCUAGAGCGAUACUUUCUCCUUCACGAGGCCAAAAAUUAUAUAUAUAAUUCCGAUCACGAUGAACUAGAUGCAUAGGAUAUUUUUUUGAUGAAAUUCCAAUUUCAAACGGUUCUAGUUCCAAGAUCCAAUAUCAUCGCAGAGCCUAUACCAUGUAAAUGCUUUUCCCUUCAAAUAUAAAGGGAAAACCUUCUUCUUAGCUUCAUCUCUGGGCAAACCUGCAAGCUUAAACAAUCCACAAGUUUCAUCCACAUAUAUCAAGUGCAUAUCAGGAUGUUCGGUUCCAUCUCCUGCGUAAGGAUUAGCUAGCAGUUGUUUAAACAUACUCGAAGGAAUUUCAUGUUCAACAUUUUCAGUAGGUGCAUUAGGUUGAGGGGCAACUAAUUGUGGUUCUGAUCGAGGUGAAGAUACCGCGAAUAAACCCCUCAAAGGAUUGUUUUCCAUAGUAGCAAGUAACAAUAAAUUUCAGCACGUACAGUAAUAAUGUUUCCUUACCAGUUUCCACUUACCAAGAGCGCUUCACUCCCAGACAACGGUGCCAGAAAAUAGACUUGAUGACCCACAAGUAUAUGGGGUCAAUUUUAGCCUUUUCGAUAAGUAAUAGUGUAGAACCCAACGAGGAGCAGAAGGAAAUGACAAGUGGUUUUCAGCAAGGUAAUGUCUGCAAGUGCUAAAAUUGUAAGUAGUGGAGUAGUUUGAUAGCAAGAUAAUUUUUAACGAGCCAGUAACGAUAGUAGUAACAAAAGUGCAGCAAGGUAGCCCAAUCCUUUUGAGGCAAAGGACAGGCCAAAACGGUUUCUUAUGAAAAGCAAAGUGUUCUUGAGGGUACACGGGAAUUUCAUCUAGUAACUUUCAUCAUGUUGGCUUAAUUCGUGUUCGGUACUUUGAUAAUUUGAUAUGUGGGUGGACCGGUGCUUAGGUGUUUUUCUUACUUGAAGAAGCCUCCUACAUAUGAUUAACCCUCUCGCAAGCAUCCUCAAAUACGAGAAAAGUAUUAAGAACAAAUUCUAACCAUAGCAUUUAACUUUUGGAUCCAAUAGGUCCCUUACAGAAUAGUGCAUAAACUGGGGUUUAAGCUUCUAUCACUCUCGCAACCCACCAUCUAAUAACUACUCCCCAAUGCAUUCCCUUAGGCCCAAAUAUGGUGAAGUGUCAUGUAAUCAAGCUUUUAAAUAGCGUCCGCUACCUCCGCUAUUGCGGCCGCAAUAGCAGUAGCGUCACCUUGCCGCUAUUAGUUUAAGGUUGCGUUAGAAAAUAGCGUGUUGUCAUGAUGUGAGCACUAUAUCACUUGUUAGACUGCUAUAUCGUCCGCUAUCCGCAAUAUCGCCCGCUAUAUAAGUCCUUGUUGUUCUGUUGUGUAAUCUAUUUAGGUAAAUAUGUCUUGCUUGCAUGGUUGCAUGACCAAAUAUUGUUCAAUUAUAGUUUAUAUUCUUAUAUAAAUGAUGAUUUCUCAAAUUAAGUGUCAUAUUUUUUGUCAAUUGCCUAGAAAUAUACAAAACAAUCUCAAUUUAUGAGUGUUUUUUAAAAAAUGGCUAUGUGGACAUAGCGCCCGCAAUAUGGCCCUCUAUCCGCAUUCCGCAACGCGGACCCUAAUCCGCAACCAGGCCACUAUCCGCUAUUUAAAAGCUUGCAUGUAGUCGACGUUCACAUGACACCACUAAGAGAAUGACAACAUACAUAUCAUCAAAAUAUCAAAACAUAUCAAGUUCACAUGAUUACUUGCAACAUGAUUUCUCCCGUGACCUCAAGAACGAAAGUAACUACUCACAAGUGAUAAACAUGCUCAAGACCAGAGGGGUAUUAAAUAGCAUAAUGGAUCUGAACAUAUAAUCUUCCACCAAAUAAACCAUAUGGUAAUCAACUACAAGAUGUAAUCAACACUACUAGUCACCCACAAGCACCAAUCCAUAGUUUUGAUACAAAGAUUGAACACAAGAGAUGAACUAGGGUAUGAGGAGUUGGUGCUGUGAAGAUGUUGAUGAAGAUAGCCCUCCCCAUGAUGGGAGAGUUGUUGGUGAUGAUGAUGACGAUGAUUUCCCCCUCCGGGAGCGAAGUUCCCUCGGCGGAAUCGCUCUGUCGGAGGGUAAAAGUGCUCCUGCCCAAGUUCCGCCUCGAGGCGGCGGUGCUUCGUCCCGAAUGUCCUCCUCCAAUUUUUUUCUAGGUCAAAAUGACUUAUUGAAGGAAAUAUGCCCUAGAGGCAAUAAUAAAGUUAUUAUUUAUUUCCUUAUUUCAUGAUAAAUGUUUAUUAUUCAUACUAGAAUUGUAUUAACCGGAAACUUAGUACAUGUGUGAAUACAUAGACAAAACAUAGUGUCCUAGUACGUCUCUACUUGACUAGCUCGUUAAUCAAAGAUGGUUAUGUUUCCUAACCAUUGACAUGUGUUGUCAUUUGAUAAACGGGAUCACAUCAUUAGGAGAAUGUUGUGAUGGACAUGACCCAUCCGUUAGCUUAGCAUUAUGAUCGUUACAGUUUCAUUGCUACUGCUCUCUUCAUGACUUAUACAUGUUCCUCAGACUAUGAGAUUAUGCAACUCCCGAAUACCGGAGGAAGACUUUUUGUGCUACCAAACGUCACAACAUAAAUGGGUGAUUAUAAAGGUGUUGUACAGGUGUCUCCAAAGGUGUUUGUUGGGUUGGCAUAGAUCGAGAUUACGAUUUGUCACUCUGUGUUUCAGAGAGGUAUCUCUGGGCCCUCUCGGUAAUACUCAUCACUAUAAGCCUUGCAAGCAUUGUGACUAAUGAGUUAGUUGCGGGAUGAAGUAUUAUAGAAUGAGUAAAGAGACUUGACGGUAACGAGAUUGAACUAGGUAUGAUGAUACUGACGAUCGAAUCUCGGGCAAGUAACAUACCAAUGACAAAGGGAACAAAUGUAUGUUGUUAUGCGGUUUGGCCGAUAAAGAUCUUCGUAGAAUAUGUAGGAACCAAUAUGAGCAUCCAGGUUCCGCUAUUGGUUAUGGACCGAAGACGUGUCUUGGUCAUGUCUACAUAGUUCUCGAACCCAUAGGUCCGCACGCUUUAACAUUCGAUGGCGAUUAGUAUUAUGAGUUUAUGGGAUUUGAUGUACCAAAGGUUGUUCGGAGUCCCAGAUGUGAUCACGGACAUGCCGAGGAGUCUCAAAAUGGUCGAGAAAUAAAGACUGAUUUAUUGGACGGCUAUAUUUGAACACCGGAAGUGUUACGGAGAAGUUUCGGAUAAAACCGGAGUACCGAGGGGUUACCAGAGGGAGCGCCUAUACGGUGCUGCAGGCGCCCGUUCGCGCUCCUGGCGCCUGCAGUGCCCUGUGCUGGGCCGGCCCACGAACAAGCAGCAGCAACAAAAAAUCCAAGGAAAAAUCCGCUCGUGUUGAAGAUUCGAACUCGCGCUGCUGCACCCUGCACGCGCUUCGCUAACCACUGCAGCCACCUCCUAAUACUUACCACUGGUACUGCAUAUUAUUUAAGUACAAUUGCAACCGUGCUGGUCCAAAAUUUAGAAAGUUCCUAGAUUUUAAAAAAGUUCACAAAAUUGUUUCAAAAAGUAAUGGUUCAGAUAUUAAAAAAAAGUUCACGAAAAUUGAAAAAAGUUCACUAGUUCAAGAAAAAGUUCAUAAACUGGAAAAGGUCCACUAAUUUCAGAAAAGUUAAUGAAUUUAAAAAGUUCACGAGUUUGAAAAAAGUUCAGGGAUCGGAAAAGUUCACGAAAUUCAAUAUAGUUCAAGAAAAUUGAAAAAAGUUCAUUGAUUUUCAUAAAAGUUCAUGAGUUUAAAAAAAGUUCACGAAAUUCAAUAUAGUUCAAGAAAAUUGAAGUUCAUCAAUUUUCAUAAAAGUUCAUGAACUUUGAAAAAAGUUGAUUGAUUUAGAUAAAAAGUUCAUCGGAUUUUGAAAAGAAUUCAUUGAUUUCGAUAAAAGUUCAUUGAAUUAGAAAAGAGUUCAUCGAAUUUGAAAAUAAUUUCAAUGAUUUUGAAAGAAGUUCAUCGAAUUGAAAAAAACGUUCAUAUAAAUCUGCUGAAUAUUUCUCACAUAUUUAAAAAUAAAAAGGAAAAAGAAAAACAAAAAUGACAGGAAAAGAAUUGAAAAGGAAAAGAAAAGGAACACGGAAGAACAAAAAAGAGAGAAUAUCAAUAAUUUCACAGAGGUGAAGCCAGUCGGGUGGUUAUUGCGUGUUCGAUGGAACCACAGCUUCGCGAGUUCGAAUCCUGCAGCACGCAUAAGUCAUGAAUUUUUGUCACUUUAACAUAGAAAACUGAAAACUAGUUGGGCCGGCCCAGUGCGAGGCGCCGCAGGCGCCCGUUUGCAAAAUACACAUUAACGGGCGCCUGCAGCGCCAAAUAGGAAAUGUCGUUACCAGAACCUCCCCCCGGGAGUUAAUGGGCCAAGUGGUGCAAGAGAGGAGGCAGGCCAAGGUGAGGCGCGGGCCCCCCUAGCCCAAACCGAAUUGGACUAGGGGGCGGCCCCCCUUUCUUUCUCUCCUUCCCCUCCUUCCUUCUUCUCCUAGUUGGACAAGGAAAGGGGGGAACCUACUCCUACUUGGAGUAGGAGUGUCCCCCCCUUGGGCGCACCCGUUGAGGCCGGCCGGCCCCCUCCUCUCCUCCUUUAUAUACUGGGGAGGGGGGCACCCCAUAGACACACAAGUUGAUCUUUUAGCCGUGUGCGGUGCCCCCCUCCAAAGUUACACACCUCGGUCAUACCGUCGUAGUGCUAAGGUGAAGCCCUACGUCGGUAACAUCAUCAUCACUGCCGCCACGCUGUCGUGCUGACGAAACUCUCCCUCGGCCUUAGCUGAACGUGUGCUGAACACGGAGGUGCCGUACGUUCGGUGCUUGGAUCGGUUGGAUCGCGAAGACGUUCGACUACAUCAACCGCGUUACUAAACGCUUCCGCUUUCGGUCUACGGGGGUACGUGGACACACUCUCCCCUCUUGUUGCUAUGCAUCACCUAGAUAGAUCUUGCGUGAUCGUAGGAUUUUUUUUUUGAAAUUACCGCAUUCCCAACACUUAUAUACCAGAAGAUGGGCACCGGAGGUGGGCCGAGGAGGGCAGCACCCACCAGGGUGUGCCUGGGCCUCCUGGCGCACCCAAGUGGGUUGUGCCCACCUAGUGCCCCCCCUCUGGUACUUAUUUGCUCCAAUAUUUAUUAAAUAUUCCAUAAAAAAAUUCUCGGGAAGUUUCAGCUCAUUGGGAGUUGUGCAGAAUAGGUAGCUUGACGUACCUUUUUCAGGUCCAGAUUUCUAGCUACCGGAAUUUUUCCCCUUGAUGCAUACCUUGCAUAUUAUGAGAGAAAAGGCAUUAGAAUUACUCCAAAAGCAUUAUUAUGCAAUAAAACAACAUAAAUAACAGUAGGAAAACAUGAUGCAAAAUGGAUGUAUCAUGUAUUAAGCAAAAUAAGAUGCAUAAAAGAUAAACAUCACAUGCAAUCAAAAUAUGUUACAUGAUAUGGCCAUAAUCAUCUCGUUCUUGUGAUCUCCAUCUCCAAAGCAUCAUCAUGAUCUGCAUCUUCACCAGCUCGACACCUUGAUCUCCAUCGUUGCUUCCUGGUCGUCUCGCCAACUAUUGCUUCUACAACUAUCGCUAACACAUAGUGAUAAUGUAAAGCAAUUACAUGGCAUUUGCAUUUCAUACAAUAAAGAGACAACCAUAAGGCUCCUGUCGGUUGCCGAUACCUUACAAAACAUGAUCAUCUCAUACAAUAACAUAUAUCACAUCAUGUCUUGACCAUAUCACAUCACAACAUACCCUGCAAAAAACAAGUUAGACGUCCUCUACUUUGUUGUUGCAAGUUUUACGUGGCUGCUAUGGGUUUCUAGCAAGAACAGUUCUUACCUACGGCAAAAACCACAAUGGUGAUUCAUCAAGUUUGCUAUGUUAACCUUCCUCAAGGACCGGCUAUAGUCAAAUUCGAUUCAACUAAAGUAGGAGAAAUAGACACCCGCCAGUCACCUUAAUGCAAAACUAGUUGCAUGUCUGUCGGUGGAACCCGUCUCAUGUGCGUGGACAUGUAAGGUUGGUCCGGGCCGCUUCAUCCCACAAUACCGCUGAAUCAAAAUAAUAUGUUGGUGGUAAGCAGUAUGACUAUCAAUUCCCACAACUCUUUGUGUUCUACUCGUGCAUAUCAUCUACGCAUAGACCUGGCUUUGAUACCACUGUUGGGAAUUGUUGCAUGGAAAACAAAAAAAAUUCUAUGCACACGCAAUGAUCUAUCCAUGGAGAUGCAUAGCAACAAGGGGGAGAGUGUGUCUACGUACCUUGUAGACCGUAAGCGGAAGCGUUUCACAACGCGGUUGAUGUAGUCGAACAUCUUCGCGCUUCAACUGAUCAAGUACCGAACGCACGACACCUUCGCGUUCUGCACACGUUCAGCUCGGUGACGUCCCUCGCCUUCUUGAACCGGCAAGACGUUGAGGUAGUAGAUGAGUUCCAUCAGGAUGACGGCGUGGUGACGGUGAUAAUGAAGUGAUCUCCGCAGGGCUUCGCCUAAGCACUACGAAAAUAUGACCGGGGGUGUAAACAGUGGAGAGGGCGUCGGACACGGCUAUGCAAUAGUCUGGUUUGUGCUAGGCGCCCCCUCAUANNNNNNNNNNNNNNNNNNNNNNNNNNNNNNNNNNNNNNNNNNNNNNNNNNNNNNNNNNNNNNNNNNNNNNNNNNNNNNNNNNNNNNNNNNNNNNNNNNNNNNNNNNNNNNNNNNNNNNNNNNNNNNNNNNNNNNNNNNNNNNNNNNNNNNNNNNNNNNNNNNNNNNNNNNNNNNNNNNNNNNNNNNNNNNNNNNNNNNNNNNNNNNNNNNNNNNNNNNNNNNNNNNNNNNNNNNNNNNNNNNNNNNNNNNNNNNNNNNNNNNNNNNNNNNNNNNNNNNNNNNNNNNNNNNNNNNNNNNNNNNNNNNNNNNNNNNNNNNNNNNNNNNNNNNNNNNNNNNNNNNNNNNNNNNNNNNNNNNNNNNNNNNNNNNNNNNNNNNNNNNNNNNNNNNNNNNNNNNNNNNNNNNNNNNNNNNNNNNNNNNNNNNNNNNNNNNNNNNNNNNNNNNNNNNNNNNNNNNNNNNNNNNNNNNNNNNNNNNNNNNNNNNNNNNNNNNNNNNNNNNNNNNNNNNNNNNNNNNNNNNNNNNNNNNNNNNNNNNNNNNNNNNNNNNNCUCCUCCCCGCCUCGCCGCCGCCCGACCUCCUGCCCCCACACGCCGCUGCCCGGCCUACUCCCCUCCGCGCUGCCGCCCGACCUCGUCCCACUGAGCCUCCGGCAGGCCUCCUCCCCACCACGCCGCUGCCCGGCCUCCUCCUCGAGCGCGUUACCGCCCGGCCCUAUCCCCAUUGCCGGUAGCGUCUUCCUUCAGCUCCGACCGCCGCCCUCCCUCUGACCACCAUGGCUCCAACCACUCAUUCACGCAAGCAGGAGCACCCCUGAUUCGGCUGUCCUCCUCCACUCUCUGGAUCAGGUUCGUCCCCGUAGACCCCUGCUCCUGCGCGUCUCCGUCCCUUCUCCAUCUCCCACCAAAUGUGCUUCCAGGUUGUGCCUGCAAGUAGUCAUGGAGACUUUCUUUCUCCAUAGUCUGUGAUUUGGGCUACUGCAAGGAAAAAGUUCACCAUGUGAGAAGGAGUCAGUGCAAUAUACUGUAGGUUAGAUGUUCGUCUUUUGCGUGACCAAAAAAUUUCAUCUUCUGAAGGUUGAAGACAAAUGGGCUAUGACGGUUUAGAUAAAAAUGAUUUGUUUCUGUAUCUAUAUUCUAGUAUUCAGCAUGAGUAGGAAGUUUGCCCCUCCAACUCUAGCCAUCUGUAGUUCAUUGUCAGUACAUGCUCUGAAACUGCUCAGUACAGUCCGUUCACCGCUGACACACGAGGCCGUUCAACGACGCAAUGAUGAGGUCUGGACUUUCCCCUGCCUCUUUUUAUGUAGCAUUUUCUGAAAAUAUCACACUUUCAACUACCUCAAGAGUACAAAAGUCUAAACAAACAAAAGCUGAAACUAAAGUUCAGGAACUGUUUCCUUCAGAAAUUGAACUGUUGUAAAGAUUGUAAAUUGAAGUGUUUGUUCUUCUAGGUACUGGCACUACAAAAUACAAACACACUAUGUUUCAAUUAAUUAUUUUAGUUCAGUUCAAUUUCUUGUUUUAGUUCAGGUCAAUUCUUAUCUUAAGUUUCAGCUCGGUUCAAUUCUUAUUUUACACUUCAGUUCAGUCCAAGCUUUGGCAGAUGACGGUCGUGCCAAAUCUGUAGUGGCAACAAGAGGGUCAAGUCGCUAUGGUUGGAGGACGGCGCCCUGCUGCUGCUCUGCAUUAGAUACAAAUGCCGCAUCGAGCGGUUGUCCUCUACUGUGACACACGAAUAGCUACUGCUGCAUCAGUAUGUGUGUGCUGCCGCAUCAGUACGUGUGUGCUGCCGCAUCAGUACUGAAACUCUACCUCGAACGAGCCCAUGCGGGAACCGUGGCCUCCACCAUGUUUGGUCAUCCCCGUCCUCGUUAUCUUCUGUACAGUGUGUUGUCGACUCCUUCGUUUCAAGCCCGUUUCUGGCCGACCACAUACUGCUUGAACUGAUGAGCUUGAACUACGUGUGCUGCUAGCCAUUUUGUGUUACUUGAACGGCCGCCCUUGCAUCAUCAAAAUCUUGAUUUACUGGGCAAGGCAUGUCACGCAGGGUAGUUGGAAGGGAGGGGAAGCUCGUUGCCUUGACAUGGUUCCAGCGGGAGCCGGGCGGGCUGGUGUACACAGAGGAUAGAGGCCCUGACCUCGUACGUCCAGGUUUGUAUCGAUACUCCGACCAACUCCAUUGAUCUUCUCAGUCAAUGCUCCACUGGUAACUCCAUUCAAAGCUUUGUCAAGUUUGAUUGCCAUGCUCUAGCCUCACAUCACAUUUUUUUCUAGUUCUGCUCAUACUGUAAGUCUGUUGAAACCUACCUAAUAUAUAGCUAAUUCAACAUCCGACAUAUCUGUUGUAUUUGUGUGCCCACACCCUCAUAUGCUUGUACAAAAAAGAAAAUGAAUGUUAGAGUGGGUGAUUAAAAAACUCAAUUUUCUUCUGUUAUUCAAGUAGGCACCUGGAAAAAAUGUUCACCUUGGUUAGAUGAACCAAAUGGGCGGUGUAGUUCUUCUGUUAUUUGAGGAGGCACCUGAAAAAAAUAAACAGAAUAAAUAAGAUGGCAGUAACAACCGGGUUGACUUUUUGUAUUUUUUGUGUAUGAUUGCAGUACUUUUUGUAAGAAAACACAUGGUACUUUGUAAAAAAAACAUUCCGAAUCUAUUUGGACUGAUCGUUCGACUUCUUUUGUAUAGAAGGUUCAAAAAGUUUUGCUCCUAUAAUUGCACAUAUUUAGAGUAUGCGAAUAUAUUAUGCGUUUUUGAAUUUUGUGUUGGAAAUAUGCCCUAGAGGCAAUAAUAAAUUGGUUAUUAUUAUUAUUUCCUUGUUCAUGAAAAUCAUUUAUUAUCCAUGCUAUAAUUGUAUUGAUAGGAAACUCAGAUACAUGUGUGGGUACAUAGACAACACCAUGUCCCUAGUAAGCCUCUAGUUGACUAGCUCGUUGAUCAAUAGAUGGUUACGGUUUCCUGGCCAUGGACAUUGGAUGUCGUUGAUAACGGGAUCACAUCAUUAGCAGAAUGAUGUGAUGGACAAGACCCAAUCCUAAGCCUAGCACAAAGAUCAUGUAGUUCGUAUGCUAAAGCUUUUCUAAUGUCAAGUAUCAUUUCCUUAGACCAUGAGAUUGUGCAACUCCCGGAUACCGUAGGAAUGCUUUGGGUGUACCAAACGUCACAACGUAACUGGGUGGAUAUAAAGGUGCACUACAGGUAUCUCCGAAAGUGUCUGCUGGGUUGGCACGAAUCGAGACUGGGAUUUGUCACUCCAUGUAAAUGGAGAGGUAUCUCUGGGCCCACUCGGUAGGACGUCAUCAUAAUGUGCACAAUGUGACCAAGGGGUUGAUCACGGGAUGAUGUGUUACGGAACGAGUAAAGAGACUUGCCGGUAAUGAGAUUGAACAAGGUAUCGGUAUACCGACGAUCGAAUCUCGGGCAAGUACAUUACCGUUAGACAAAGGGAAUUGUAUACGGGAUCGAUUGAGUCCUUGACAUCGUGGUUCAUCCGAUGAGAUCAUCGUGGAACAUGUGGGAGCCAACAUGGGUAUCCAGAUCCCGCUGUUGGUUAUUGACCGGAGGACAUCUCGGUCAUGUCUGCAUGGUUCCCGAACCCGUAGGGUCUACACACUCAAGGUUCGAUGACGCUAGGGUUAUAAAGGAAGUUUGUAUGUGGUUACCGAAUGUUGUUUGGAGUCCCGGAUGAGAUCCCGGACAUCACGAGGAGUUCCGAAAUGGUCCGAAGGUAAAGAUUUAUAUAUGGGAAGUCCUGUUUUGGUCACCGGAAAAGUUUCGGGUUUUAUCGGUAACGUACCGGGACCACCGGGAGGGUCCGGGGGGUCCACCAAGUGGGGCCACCAUCCCCGGAGGGCUGCAUGGGCCAAGUGUGGGAGGAGACCAGCCCCAGGUGGGCUGGUGCGCCCCCCCCCCACCAAGGCCCAAGGCGCAGGGAAGAGUGGGAGGGGGCAAACCCUAGGGCAGAUGGGCCCUAAGGCCCACCCCAGGUGCGCCUCCCCUCUCUCCCCCUCUGGCCGCCACCCAGAUGGGAUCUGGGGGCUGCCUCCACCCCUGGGGAGGGAACCCUAGAGGGGGCGCAGCCCCCUCCCCUUCCCCUAUAUAUAGUUGAGGUCUAGGGGCUGCCCAACACAUGAGUUUCUCUCCCUCUUGGCGCAGCCCUACCUCUCUUCCUCCUCCUCUCCCGCGGUGCUUGGCGAAGCCCUGCAGGAUUGCCACGCUCCUCCAUCACCACCACGCCGUUGUGCUGCUGCUGGACGGAGUCUUCCUCAACCUCUCCCUCUCUCCUUGUCGGAUCAAGGCGUGGGAGACGUCUCCAGGCUGUACGUGUAUUGAAUGCGGAGGUGCCGUCCAUUCAGCACUAGGAUCUCCGGUGAUCUGGAUCACGACGAGUAUGACUCCUUCAACCCCGUUCUCUUGAAAGCUUCCUCUUAGCGAUCUACAAGGGUAUGUAGAUGCACUCUCCUUCCCCUCGUUGCUGGUUUCUCCAUAGAUAGAUCUUGGUGACACGUAGGAAAAAUUUGAAUUUCUGCUACGUUCCCCAACAGUGGUAUCAGAGCUAGGUCUAUUGCGUAGAUUCUUUGCACGAGUAGAACACAAAGUAGUUGUGGGCGUUGAUUUUGUUCAAUAUGCUUACCGUUACUAGUCCAAUCUUGUUUCGACGGUAUUGUGGGAUGAAGCGGCCCAGACCGACCUUACACGUACACUUACGUGAGACAGGUUCCACCGACUGACAUGCACUUGUUGCAUAAGGUGGCUAGCGGGUGCCAGUCUCUCCCACUUUAGUCGGAAUGGAUUCGAUGAAAAGGGUCCUUAUGAAGGGUAAAUAGCAAUUGUCAUAUCACGUUGUGGUUUUGCGUAGGUAAGAAACGUUCUUGCUAGAAACCCAUAGCAACCACGUAAAACAUGCAAACAACAAUUAGAGGACGUCUAACUUGUUUUUGCAGGGUAUGCUAUGUGAUGUGAUAUGGCCAAGAAGAAUAUGAUGAAUGAUAUGUGAUGUAUGAGAUUGAUCAUGUUCGUGUAAUACGAAUCACGACUUGCAUGUCGAUGAGUAUGACAACCGGCAGGAGCCAUAGGAGUUGUCUUAGUUUAUUGUGUGACCUGCGUGUCAUUAAACAACGCCAUGUAAUUACUUUACUUUAUUGCUAACCGGUAGCCAUAGUAGUAGAAGUAAUAGUUGGCGAGAUAACUUCAUGAAGACACGAUGAUGGAGAUCAUGGUGUCAUGCCGGUGAGGAUGAUGGCCAUGGAGCCCCGAAGAUGGAGAUCAAAAGGAGCAAAAUGAUAUUGGCCAUAUCAUGUCACUAUUUGAUUGCAUGUGAUGUUUAUCAUGUUUAUACAUCUUAUUUGCUUAGAACGACGGUAGUAAAUAAGAUGAUCCCUCAUUAAAAUUUCAAGAAAGUGUUCCCCCUAACUGUGCACCGUUGCGAAAGUUCGUCGUUUCGAAGCACCACGUGAUGAUCAGGUGUGAUAGAUUCUUACGUUCACAUACAACGGGUGUAAGCCAGAUUUACACACGCGAAACACUUAGGUUAACUUGACGAGCCUAGCAUGUACAGACAUGGCCUCGGAACACAAGAGACCGAAAGGUCCGUCAUGAGUCGUAUGGAGGAUACGAUCAACAUGAAGAUGUUCACCGAUGAUGACUAGUCCGUCUCACGUGAUGAUCGGACACGGCCUAGUUGACUUGGAUCAUGUAAUCACUUAGAUGACUAGAGGGAUGUCUAUCUGAGUGGGAGUUCAUAAGACGAACUUAAUUAUCCUGAACAUAGUCAAAAACCCUUUGCAAAUUAUGUCAUAGCUCGUGCUAUAGUUCUAUUGUUUUAGAUAUGUUCCUAGAGAAAAUAUAGUUGAAAGUUGACAGUAGCGAUUAUGCGAUCAGUAGAAAGCUUAUGUCCUUAAUGCACCGCUCGGUGUGCAGAACCCCAAACGUCGUCUGUGGAUGUUGCGAACAUCGGACAUACACGUUUUGAUAACUACGUGAUAGUUCAGUUAAACGGUUUAGAGUUGAGGCACCAAAGACGUUUUUCGAAACAUCGCGGAACAUAUGAGAUGUUUCGAGGGCUGAAAUUGGGAUUUCAGGCUCGUGCCCAUGUCAAGAGGUACAAGACCUCUGACGAUUUUCUUAGCCUGCAAACUAAGGGAGAAAAGCUCAAUCGUUGAGCUUGUGCUCAGAUUGUCUGAGUGCAACAAUCACUUGAAUCGAGUGGGAGUUGAUCUUCCAGAUGAGAUAGUGAUGUUUCUCCAAAGUCAUUGCCACCAAGCUGCUAGAGCUUCGUGAUGAACUAUAACAUAUCAAGGAUAGAUAUGACGAUCCUUGAGGUAUUCACGAUGUUUGACACCGCGAAAGUAGAAAUCAAGAAGGAGCAUCAAUUGUUGAUGGUUGGUGAAACCACUAGUUUCAAGAAGGGCAAUGGCAAGAAGGGAUACUUCAUGAAACGACAAAUCAGCUGCUGCUCCAGUGAAGAAACCCAAGGUUGAACCUAAACCCGAGACUAAGUGCUUCUGUAAUAAGGGAACAGCCACUGGAGCAGGAUUACCCUAGAUACUUGGUAGAUAAGAAGGCUGGCAAGGUCGAUAGAAGUAUAUUGGAUAUACAUUAUGUUAAUGUGUACUUUACUAGUACUCCUAGUAGCACCAGGGUAUUAGAUACCGGUUCGGUUGCUAAGUGUUAGUAACUCAAAAUAAAAGCUACGGAAUAAACGAAGACUAGCUAAAGGUGAGCUGACGAUAUGUGUUGGAAGUGUUUCCAAGGUUGAUGUGAUCAAGCAUCGCACGCUCCCUCUACCAUCGAGAUUGGUGUUAAAAUAAUUGUUAUUUGGUGUUUGCGUUGAGCAUAGACAUGAUUGGAUUAUGUCUAUCGUGAUACGGUUAUUCAUUUAAGGAGAAUAAUGGUUACUCUGUUUAUUUGAAUAAUACCUUCAAUGGUAUUGCACCUAAAAGGAAUAGUUUAUUGAAUCUCGAUCGUAGUGAUACACAUUUUCAUGCCAAAAGAUAUAAGAUAGUAAUGAUAGUACCACUUACUUGUGGCACUGCCAUGUAAGUCAUAUUGGUGUAAAACGCAUGAAGAAGCUCCAUGUUGAUGGAUCUUUGGACUCACUCGUUUUUGAAAAGUUUGAGACAUGCGAACCAUGUCUAUUGGUGUAUACGCAUGAAGAAACUCCAUGCGGAUGGAUCGUUUGGACUCACUUGAUUUUGAAUCACUUGAGAUAUGCAAAUCAUACCACAUGGGCAAGAUGACUGAAAAGCCUCGGUUUCAGUAAGAUGGAACAAGAUAGCAACUUGUUGGAAGUAACACAUUUUGAUGUGUGCAGUCCAAUGAGUGCUGAGGCAUGCAGUGAAUAUCGUUAUGUUCUUACUUCACAGAUGAUUCGAGUAGAUGUUGAGUAUAUUUACUUGAUGAAACACAAGUCUGAAUUAUUGAAUGGUUCAAAUAAUUUCAGAGUGAAGUUAAAGAUCAUCGUGACAAGAGGAUAAAAUGUCUAUGAUAUGAUCAUAGAGAUGAGUAUCUGAGUUACGAGCUUUGGCACGCAAUUAAGACAUUGUGAAAAUUGUUUCACAAUUAAUACCGCCUGGAACACCAUAGUGUGAUGGUGUGUCCGAACAUCAUAGUUGCACCCUAUUGGAUAUGGUGCGUACCAUGAUGUCUCUUAUCGAAUUACCACUAUCGUCCAUGGGUUAGGCAUUAGAGACAACCGCACUCACUUUAAUAGGGCACCACGUAAUUUCGUUGAGACGACACCAUUUGAACUAUGGUUUGGAGAAACCUCAGUUGUCAUUUCUUAAAAGUUUGGGGCUGCGACACUUAUGUGAAAAGGUUUCAUCGUGAUAAGCUCGAAUCCAAAACGGAUAAAUACAUCUUCAUAGGAUACCCAAAAUGGUUGGGUAUACCUCCUAUCUCAGAUCCGGAAGCAAAAGUAAUUGUUUCUUGAAUCGGGUCCUUUCUCGAGGAAAAGUUUCUCUCGAAAGAAUUGAGUGGGAGGAUGGUGGAGACUUGAUGAGGUUAUUGAACCGUCACUUCUAAUAGUGUGUAGCAGGGCACAGGAAGUUGUUCCUGUGGCACCUACACCAAUUGAAGUAGAAGCGUAUGAUAGUGAUCAUGAAAUUUCGGAUCAAGUCACUACCGUACCUCGUAGGGUGAUGAGGAUGCGUACUACUUCAGAGUGGUACAGUAAUCCUAUCUUGAAGGUCAUGUUGCUAGACAACAAUGAACCUACGAGCUAUGGAGAAGCAAUGGUCGGCCCAUAUUCCAACAAAUGGUUAUAAGCCAUGAAAUCCGAGAUAGGAUCCAUGUAUCAAAACAAAGCAUGGACUUUGGUGGACUUGCCCGUUGAUCGGCAAGCCAUUGAGAUAAAUGGAUCUUUAAGAAGAAGGCGGACGUGAACGGUAAUGUCACCGUCUGUGAAGCUCUACUUGUGGCGAAGAGUUUUUCACAAGUUCAAGGAGUUGACUACGAUGAGAUUUUCUCAUCCGUAGCGAUGCUUAAGUCCGUCGAAAUCAUGUUAGCAUUAGCUGCAUUUAUGAAAUCAACCAAUUGGAUGUCAAAACGAGUUUCCUUACCAGUUUUCAUAAGGAAAGGUUGUAUGUGAUACAAUCAGAAAGGUUUGUCGAUCCUAAGGAUGCUAAAAGGUAUGCUAGCUCCAGCGAUCCUUCCAUGGAUCAGAGUAAGCAUCUCGGAGUUGGAAUAUACGCUUUGAUGAGAUGAUCAAAGAUUUUGGGUUUAUACAAAAGUUUAUGAGAAACUUGUAUUUCCAAAGAAGUGAGUGGGAGCGCUAUAGAAUUUAUGAUGAGUAUAUGUUGUUGACAUAUUGUUGAUCAGAAAUGAUGUAAAAUUUCUAGAAAGCAUAUGGGGUUAUUUGAAAAGUGUUUUUCAAUGGAGAACCUGGAUUAAGCUACUUGAACAUUGAGCAUCAAGAUCUAUGAGGAUAGAUCAAAAACAAAACGCUAAAUGAUACUUUCAAAUGAGCACAUACCUUGACAUGAUCUUGAAGGUGUUCAAGAUGGAUCAGUCAAAGGAGUUCUUGCCUGAGUUGUAAGGUAUGAAGUUAAGAGUUAAAGCUCGACCAUGGCAGAAGAGAGAGAAAGGACGAAGGUCGUCCCCUAUGCUUCAGACGUAGGCUCUAUAGUAUGCUAUGCUGUGUACCGCACCGGAAGUGUGCCUUGCCAUGAGUCAGUCAAGGGGUAUAAGAAUGAUCCAGGAAUGGAUCAUUGGAUAGCGGUCAAAAUUGUCCUUGGAGUAAUAAGGACAUGUUUCUCGAUUAUGGAAGUGAUAAAGAGUUCGGUGUAAAAGGUUACGUCGAUGCAAGCUUUAACACCUAUCCGAGUGACUCUGAGUAGCAAACCGGAUACGUAUAGUGGAGCAACCAUUUGGAAUAGCUCCAAGUGGAGCGUGGAAGCAGCAUUUACAAUAUGACCUAGAGAUUUGCGAAGUACAUACGGAUCUGAAUGUUGCAGACCCAUUGACUAAAACCUCUCUCACAAGCAAAACAUGAUCAAACCCCAGAACUCACUGAGUCUUAAUCACAUGAUGAUGUGAACUAAUUUAAUGACACUAGUAAACUCUUUGGAUGUUGGUCACAUGGCGAUGUGACGUGUGAUUGUUAAUCACAUGGCGAUGUGAACUAGAUUAUUGACUCUAGUGCAAGUGGGAGACUGUUGGAAAUAUGCCCUAGAGGCAAUAAUAAAUUGGUUAUUAUUAUUAUUUCCUUGUUCAUGAUAAUCGUUUAUUAUCCAUGCUAUAAUUGUAUUGAUAGGAAACUCAGAUACAUGUGUGGGUACAUAGACAACACCAUGUCCCUAGUAAGCCUCUAGUUGACUAGCUCGUUGAUCAAUAGAUGGUUACGGUUUCCUGGCCAUGGACAUUGGAUGUCGUUGAUAACGGGAUCACAUCAUUAGCAGAAUGAUGUGAUGGACAAGACCCAAUCCUAAGUCUAGCACAAAGAUCGUGUAGUUCGUAUGCUACAGCUUUUCUAAUGUCAAGUAUCAUUUCCUUAGACCAUGAGAUUGUGCAAAUCCCGGAUACCAUAGGAAUGCUUUGGUUGUACCAAACGUCACAACGUAAGUGGGUGGCUAUAAAGGUGCACUAUAGGUAUCUCCAAAAGUGUCUGUUGGGUUGGCACGAAUCGAGACUGGGAUUUGUCACUCCGUGUAAACGGAGAGGUAUCUCUGGGCCCACUCGAUAGGACAUCAUCAUAAUGUGCACAAUGUGACCAAGGGGUUGAUCACGGGAUGAUGUGUUACGGAACGAGUAAAGAGACUUGUCGGUAACGAGAUUGAACAAGGUAUUGGUAUACCGACGAUCGAAUCUCGGGCAAGUACAAUACCGUUAGACAAAGGGAAUUGUAUACGGGAUAGAUUGAGUCCUUGACAUCGUGGUUCAUCCGAUGAGAUCAUCGUGGAACAUGUGGGAGCCAACAUGGGUAUCCAGAUCCCGCUGUUGGUUAUUGACCGCAGGACGUCUCGGUCAUGUCUGCAUGGUUCCCGAACCCGUAGGGUCUACACACUUAAGGUUCGAUGACGCUAGGGUUAUAAAAGAAGUUUGUAUGUGGUUACCGAAUGUUGUUCAGAGUCCCGGAUGAGAUCCCGGAUGUCACGAGGAGUUCCGGAAUGGUUCGGAGGUAAAGAUUUAUAUAUGGGAAGUCCUGUUUUGGUCACCGAAAAAGUUUCGGGUUUUAUCGGUAACGUACCGGAACCACCGGGAGGGUCCCGGGGGUCCACCAAGUGGGGCCACCAUCCCCGGAGGGCUGCAUGGGCCAAGUGUGGGAGGGUACCAGCCCCAUGUGGGCUGGUGCGCCCCCCCACCAAGGCCCAAGGCACAGGGAAGAGUGGGAGGGGGCAAACCCUAGGGCAGAUGGGCCCUAAGGCCCACCCCAGGUGCGCCUCCCCUCUCUCCCCCUCUGGACGCCACCCAGAUGGGAUCUGGGGGCUGCCGCCACCCCUGGGGAGGGAACCCUAGAGGGGGCACAGCCCCCUCCCCUUCCCCUAUAUAUAGUUGAGGUCUAGGGGCUGCCCAACACAUGAGUUUCUCUCCCUCUUGGCGCGACCCUACCUCUCUUCCUCCUCCUCUCCCGCGGUGCUUGGCGAAGCCCUGCAGGAUUGCCAUGCUACUCCAUCACCACCACGCCGUUGUGCUACUGCUGGACGGAGUCUUCCUCAACCUCUCCCUCUCUCCUUGCUGGAUCAAGGCGUGGGAGACGUCACCGGGUUGUACGUGUGUUGAACGCGGAGGUGUCGUCCGUUCGGCCCUAGGAUCUCCGGUGAUUUGGAUCACGACGAGUACGACUCCUUCAACCCCGUUCUCUUGAACGCUUCCGCUUAGCGAUCUACAAGGGUAUUUAGAUGCACUCUCUUUCCCCUCGUUGUUGGUUUCUCCAUAGAUAGAUCUUGGUGACACGUAGGAAAAUUUUGAAUUUCUGCUACGUUCCCCAACAUUUUGCUCUUGUGUAACAGUUCAACAUGUCUUAUGUCAUCAAUUCAUAAUGAAAAAAGCAGGAAUAGUUCAAAACGUGUGCGUGUUAAAAACAGAACAAUAUAGAUAAACUUCCGUAUCAGUUCGAUGGAAUAAAUCACAUCAGUUCUGACCCGGAUCGGCUGUUGCCUACAAUGCAUUGAAAAUAAAUUUUUGAAUCAAAUCAAUCUAGUUGUUCUAUAUUGGCUUAAAGUUUUCGUAUCUUUAUCUUACUGAUGAUGCUCUGAACUGAACAAGAGUGCUGGGUAAUAAGUGUGCCUUUGGUUUAAUACUAAAAGAUCUGUUCGCUGACUUAUAGUAGCAAAAUCUCAUGGAAGUGUGUGUUGGUGGCUUCAAUUAAUUUUACGCUUGCAUACAGGAUGGUGGCAGUGGUGGCGCAGAAUUGGAGAAAGAAAAAGAGGAAAGCCGUCCAAAAAACUUAACAUUUUUUCAUGUUUCUCUCUAGCUGAAAUGAAGCAAGACUAAUGUACUACAGUUCAUCUCUCUGCACAGCAGGUUCAUGUACAUCGACGACGUCGCCAUGCGUGCAUGCUCCAACAUGUCCGCUGUCGCAGCCCCAUCACUCAUUGCCGAUGCACUCCAACCCCGAGGAUCUCCAUGAUGGAGGCCGCCUCGCAGCCUAGCAACGAGGUAACUCAUCUUCCUUGUGUGUCCUUCGCCCAUUGUGCGCCCUGCUUCCCUCGACCUCCUUCCUCUCAGGCAUGCUACCCCAACUUUUAUUUUGAUUUUCAGUUCAAGUUGUGUGUUCUUUUUAGUAUAUUAUGCUUUAAAUGAGCUGAGUCCUGAGGCAAAAGAUACAUUUUAGUUUUGCUUUGCCGCAAGGGCAUUCCUGAAACUUAACUUCUGUCUAAACCUAUAAUCAUCCAUUUCGAAAAUAGAUGCUACUUUACUUUGCAUGGAUCCUGAAUCACAUUUCACUAAAAAUGUAAUAGUGAAAUUACACUGAAUAAUUAUAUUGUAUUUUUUAGCAUUCUUGCAACCCUAUUAACAACAUCUUUUUGUGCAGUGUUUGUUGGUUUCUCUUUCAUUUAUGGACAUCUUGGGUUUGCUGGGUGCAGAAUCAAGAAGCCCAAUCAUCAUCAGAGAUGAAAAAAAGGAGAGAAGCACGGGAAGAGGUGCUAGUAGAAGAGGAAGAAGUAAUGUGAAAAAUGAGAUAAAUGUGAGAAUAGCAAGUAGUAAAGCAUGAGAGGGAUUCAGAUUCUGUUUUCACAUUCUUGCUCUACACGUACCUUUGGUCUGUAGAUGCACCGUAAUGCAUCUAGGAAGUAUGAAUGGUUAAUACCUCAAUGGUGCACUAUGCAUCUUUGGCAGGUUUUUAUGCAUUUUUAAAUGGUUGUGGAGCAAUUUAAUGGUGCGCUAUGUACUGAAGUAUACAUUGUUUAUAUGUUCUUGUACAUCGGCUCAUCAAGGUUGUACCAUACCGAAAUUUGGAGCAGUCUGGCAAAAAGUAUUUACAUCCGUUCAAACUCGAGGAUACAACAAGUUCAGAGAAAACAAAAGUUUGCAGUUGAGAAAUAGGGGAUGAUCCAGUUUGCAGUUGAGAAAACAAAAGAUGGUUAGGUUUUGGUAUUCUGUGACGUUGACGUCCAAGUUCUGCAACUGAUCCGUCCACAUGGGACAAGGAGGUCAGUCCAGCAGGCGCAUCUCAAGUGUCAUGUCAGUGCGUCGCCCACCCGUGGCCAUGCCUCUCCGUCGCAUGUCGUGUCAUGCCGCCUUGCUAUCAACCACCGUUGUGGCUCAGCCCUGUAGUGUUUCCACGAUCACCACACGCAGCUUCCUUCUAUCGUUGUCCUCGCCCUGCUCUCCUCAAUAUUGGCAUUGCAAAAAGGGAAAAUUUUGUUUUUGCCACUCUAGAUUUUGCCAAUUUUCCUUAUGCCACUCCAUAUUUUGACACUUCACUUUUGCCAUUCUUAGUUUUUGACAAUUAUCACAAUUGCCAUUCCUGUGGUAAAAGCAAAAUUUUCCGAGUGGCAAUUGUAUAAUUGUCAAAAUCUAAGAGUGGCAAAAAUAAAAUAAAAUAAUUUUGCUUUUGCCACAAAAUGGCAAUUGUGAUAAUUGUCAAAAACUAAGAGUGGCAAAAGUGAAAUGUCAAAAUCUAGAGUGGCAUAAGGAAAAUUGGCAAAAUCUAGAGUGGUAAAAAAAAUUCCCUUGCAAAAACACAACAAGUUCACAAUUAAAAAAGUUGUAAGUUCAACACGACGUCCCAGAUAAGUUUGAGAAAAAAGCUCAAACAAAAUGAAACCCAAUGAAAACUCAAAUGAUAAAAGUUCAAGUUGCAAAACAAGAGAAGUCCAAAACAUCUUGCAAGAAAAAUUAAGUUAAAAAAACAAACACAUGAAAUUAUUUUCUUUGUCCUCGCCCUGCUCUCCUAAAUAUUGGCAUUGCAAAACACAACAAGUUCACAAUUAAAAAAGUUGUAAGUUCAACACGACGUCACAUAUAAGUUUGAGAAAAAAGCUCAAACAAAAUGAAACCCAAUGAAAAAUCAACUGGUAAAAGUUCAAGUCACAAAAUAAGAGAAGUCCAAACCAUCUUGCAAGAAAAUUGAGUUAAAAAAACAAACACACGAAAUUAUUUCCUUUUGAAAAAAUAUCAUUCAGUUCAACGAUAUAAACCAUGCAAGUUCGGGGAUUAUGAUACCCAAAAAAUAGAGUGAAGUCUAGUAUGUGAAAACAUGCUCAGUACAAAAUCAUACGAACAUCAAUGCAAGUACACUUUUCUUGGAACCAUUCAAAAUUACUCUGAAAAAUUUCUCAGUACAAACACACACAUAGAUCAGUAUGAGUACUCUUUUUUCGGACAGAAAAACAGCACGAUGAGUCUCACCAUAUUUCAAAAUUACUCUUAAAAGAUGGGAGCAAGUACAAAAUCAUAAAGACAUUCGUUUAAAGUAUUCUUUUUUCAGAACCAUUCAAAUCUACUCUGUGAAAAAUACCUCAGUAUAAAUAUAGACAUAGAUCAGUACGAGUACUCUGUUUUUUUGACACAAAAAAACAACACAAUGGGUUUCACCUUAUUCAAAAUUACUUUUAAACGGUUUCGAAGUAGAGAAAACGUUCAACAUCACUAAUCUUUGCAUUUUCGAUAGCUAUCCAACGGUAUAUUAUUUGCCCCAUUUCGACAAAUUUUAGAAAAACGCGUUCAAAACCAAUUUUAACCGUAUUUGAAUUCGUAUUUAAACCAUAAGGAAUUAGAAAAAACUUCCUAUACGCAAAAGUUGUGCAUUUUCCAUAGCUUUCCAACACCGUAUCAUUUGCGUCAAUCCGACAAACCGUUUGCAAAAAACAGUGAAAAAACAUUUUGCCCAGAAUUUCACCGUUUUUCAAAUUACUUUUAAAUCAUAUAGAAUUUGAAAAAAUAGUAGAUAUAUGGAAUAUGCGAUUUUCACAAGCUUUCCGACGCCAUCUCAUUUGCUCAAUUCUGACAAACCGUUUGAAAAUUAAGUUGAAAAUACGAUUCACGUUCUCGGUUUUGAAAAAAACGGUUUUCCCAAAACUGCUCUUAGAUCAUAAUUUUUUUUGCACUUUUUUUAUAAGAUUAUAAUGUGGAUGUCAAGAGAUUUCCAACGAUAUAUUACACGCCCCUUUCGACAAAAAAAAUUCCAAAAAAAUUUAGACUAAAGAAGACGAUUUUUAACAGCAACACAAAGCAUCAGUUCAACCGCUCGAAUUUCAUCAGUUCAACCGCUUGAAUUCAUCAGUUCAAGUAGGAUAACAGAAUAAUAUUCUGUUAUGGGCGGUAAUAGAAAUUCUAUUAAUGACCCUGGGUGAAGAAUAAAAAUUCUUCACUCUGGUCGAACGACGCAGCCAGCCGGUCGUCUGGUUCAAUUAUCCUUUUAUUACGUCCUUCUGCAAGUUUUUUUUUGUCACCGUUGUGGAGCUAACCCACGACGUCCCCGUACUUUUUUUUCUUAGGGUCUCCCCGCAGUUUUUGUAUCGAUUGAUUUGGGAGCGGACGGCGAGCGGUUUCGGCGGCCAGUGGCCAGCGGUGGCAGGAUUCGUCGGCGAGCGGGCGGAAGCUACCAGUGGACUUGGCUACUUGGGAGGCCGGGGUUCGCAGCGUUUGCCUGCGGCAACGUCGUGGCGAGCGGCGAUGCGGGAGGCCUCGCGAAGGGUGCGGCCUCGUUGGCCGGCGGCCUCGCGGGAGGCUCCGCGGCGUGGUGUGUAGCCUGCGGCGCGGCCGGUGUCCUCGGCAACGUUGGGCGUUGUGGAUGGCUCGACAGGUCCGUUGGGGCAGCAUUUCUUUCCUUUGGCGUUUAUCUCGGCUCUUCGGCGCUCACGAUGCGCGCACGUGUGCGUGUCGCAAUGGCUGAUAGAAGGAGAAGCAGCGCCUCGCUCUCCUCUGCGACCUCAUCCCCAAUUGGAAUCGACAAGGCAGCUUCCCGAGCUCGCUCUCCACUAGAAGCCGCAUGAAUGGAUCGAACAAAAGGUUAGGUAUUUUUUCUACUUCUGAAUGAUUUCUGGUGACUAUAGGAGUAGUCUCACUUGUGAAAGAUCACUAAUUGUGUCAAAUUCUUCUUAUAUUUAACUGUUUGACCCAAUUAUUUGAUAUGGUGUAUCAGAAAUUCAGAAUAAGAUUACGUUGGUUGUAUGAUUGAUCUACCUGUACUUGUAAUUUGUUAAAUGACCUGAUUUAGGUAGACUUUUUUAGAGGAGAUUUAGGGAGACUUGGUUGCAAGAGCUCGUCUUGUUUAAAUCAACUGGCCAACAUAGCUGAAAUAAAUUUAAGGGAAGUUAAUACGGAUCUGAUUUCCUUGAUGUUAUCCUGAAAAUCGACUUGCAGCUUUGUAUUGCAAUUGGCAACAAGAGUAGGCCUCCAAUGCUUUUACUAUUGGUCAUGUUUGCUUUUGGAGUAGCUUACAACUUUAUAAUGUAUAUUUUCACGGGGUCGAAAGGGCCUGUCUCAAGUGCUAACCUCACAGAACAAAGCUCGAGGCAGAGUCAAAUUUUAUUUGAGUUAUUGGAGUCCAAUUUCUACAAUACUUAACACAUAUUCAUUGGAAAACACUUUAAUCCACUUUGUACAUUGCCUACUAGCUGUUGAAUGCACGAAGAAGCUCAUAGAUUUCAGAUUUUUUGUGUGGUAUAUGUUUCUGUUGUAGCCUAAUGUGGCACAAGGUGAGCUCAAGCCCGAUUUAUUCAGCCUGGAUCUUGGGACUUUUUUAAUACUUGAAGUUGUGUUACUGUUUUCAUCUGGUGUUGUUAGCUUCGGAAAUCCUCAGAUUUCAUCCGACAAGGUAAAUCUUGCCAUUCUCUCAUUGCUGCGCCGGCGGCGCCACCGCCUUCUCCUUUCCUAUUCGUUACGCAAGGAAACAGAAGGAGGGCCGUAAUGGGAGCCACGCUCGCCAGCUCGCCUUUACGGCUGCUCCAGAGCACUAACGAGGUGGUGGUCGUCGCUGGCAAUCAUCCAGCAAGCUCAUCAUCGCCUUCCUCUGCCAAAUAUGCAUGGUUGCAGCAGCAACAUCUCGUCCUCUCCAAAAUAGGAAACUUUUUAAAAUGAGAUUUAUACAACGGAAGUCUUGUGAAAUUGGAGUGCAUCUCCUAAGAUUUUUUUUCUGAUGCUUUUCACAAUACAGGUUGAUAAUUAGGAGGAUUUCUUCCUUUUUUUUUGUAGUGUUGUUGGAAGUGAUGAGAGAACAAUAAUCUAGGGCAUCAAUUAGAGGUGCACAUACGUCAUCUUUGUGAUCAUGUUCUUCACGUGCACUGAAUUUGUUUGUUUUCCGAGUCCGCUGCAACACAUGCUGCCAUAUGAAAAAUUAUUUCUUCCACUGUGUCUUCCCUUGGCAAGUACAUCAAAGAUGGGAUAAAAUAUCACGAUGGAAGCGCUGGUUUUAUUGCUGGCCGUGUUUGGUGGUAACUGGUAAGGUGCUUUGUUUUCCUUCCAUGAAACUAAGUAAAUCAAGUUAGAGUAGAAUUUUGGCAGAACAAGAGACGAUUCUUGUUGUCUGUUAUUCUUAAAUGAGUAUAGGUUCAUUACCAGUGAUUUGCAAUAUGUUUCAAUUGUAUCUGUUCUGAUACUUAAGAGUGUGUGUGAUGCUUUAUUUCUUCGAUAACAUGACGAUCUUUCAUGCUUAUGGACAUGAACAAGUAUAUGUUUUCGAUGGGUGUUUGCUCCAAUGGUGUGUUUAUGGGUGUGACGUCGAACCAAUUGCCUCUUGUGAUGCUAUAUUAAAAGCUAAGGCUGCUAGCGAAGCAAUCGAAAAGUUUAUCAGGGGCAGUUGGUUUAUUGUUUUAAACCUCUUCGCAUUUUUUAUUUUGGCAAAACUUCGUUUGGAAUCUCAAUGAACCUUACUAGCACUAGUGACUUAUCGACCUCUUAAUUAUGAUACCUACUAUUGUACUAGGUGUUUCUCUUCAAUUUUUAGUUAUGACAGAAAUUAUAUUAUAUAUCUAUUCUAUGUAGGUUGGCCCCUCCACAUUUCAAUCCAAGUUACAGCCCCAUCUUUGGAAUCUUGAUCAGGUUAGAAGUUCUACGGGGCCAAAAAUAUGUCUUAACUUUCCCCACUGAGUCGCCAUGACACAAUUCACUAAAUCCAUUCUGCGUGUUGAACAUAACCAAUGGACAUAAUUUACUCUGGUGAAAGAGAAUAUCAAAUCUGACACGCAUCAACUUAUAAAUACUCUUAUGGUUACAGAUUUAUGUGCUAUAUAAAACCUUCGCCUUAAUUCUUAUGGUUCAGUUUCGUAUUGUGCUGAUUAUGUUGGCUCAAGAGGCACUUCAGUUUUCUAUUUUUGUCCUCGUUGCUGUGCAACUAUGGUAAAUAAUGCUUUUUUAAACACAACAGGAAGUCUUUGAAUUUGGUAAGUAUUCAGUAGCUAAAUAGAUUGUUAUAGUACUGCAGUGCACCUCAUAGAUAUGACAUAGCGAUAAAACAAAAUUAUACUCAACAGACUUAUUUCUUUAGUUUCUCGUCAUAGUAUUUUUGAGAUUCUAAAAUAUGCAAGUAAAUAAUUGCAGCUUUUGUAUUUUGUGUANNNNNNNNNNNNNNNNNNNNNNNNNNNNNNNNNNNNNNNNNNNNNNNNNNNNNNNNNNNNNNNNNNNNNNNNNNNNNNNNNNNNNNNNNNNNNNNNNNNNNNNNNNNNNNNNNNNNNNNNNNNNNNNNNNNNNNNNNNNNNNNNNNNNNNNNNNNNNNNNNNNNNNNNNNNNNNNNNNNNNNNNNNNNNNNNNNNNNNNNNNNNNNNNNNNNNNNNNNNNNNNNNNNNNNNNNNNNNNNNNNNNNNNNNNNNNNNNNNNNNNNNNNNNNNNNNNNNNNNNNNCGCCCAACCGUGAUACAGGACGAAUCACUAACCUUUUAACAUUACAUACAUUGUUAAGCCUAAUCACCUGGUCAACCUCUUGUUACCUGUUGCGGUGCCGAUGUGACAUCAUGUGUAUUGGGUUUGGUAAGUCCAGCUGCAGCUUGAGAUCCCUAGAUUUCGUUUGCGGAUGCAAAAUUGUGUCUAACUUACAUUCCCAUUUUAGGGUCUUCAUCGCCUUGGCAAGACCGAUGUUGCUACAUACUAGUAUAUGAUGGAUCAUGGACUGAUGAAUGGGGUGCUCACCCUGACGCUCCAGUUGGUGUUGCACUUGCUAGUGAUCUAAACACUCUUAUAUUUCUUUCAGAGGGAGUACUAUGUAAUGAUGGUCAGGACUCAGGAAAUUGGAGAGUUUGGGUUCCUGUUUUGGGCUUUUUCGAUGUAUAAAUUGUCAAAAAAUAGAAAUUGGAAUAUAUACUUUGUGAAUUAAUAGUAGACUAGUAAGUAUGCACGUGCAACGCACGUCUCAAACAAAACAAGUUCACAUGGUAUAAUACUAAAAUAAUUUUUAUAAAAAAUUCAAAUCGCUACAGAAUGUUGUCAUGUCACUCAAAUUGUAUUUUCAAAAAGUGUGACAUGUUUCUGAUCCAACACAUGUAUCAUAUCUAUAGUAAAAACAUCUAUUCUAGAUCUAAAUUUUAUUUAGUGAGUUCUUUUACCGAGCCAUUUAAAUAUGUCUUAUGCACAACGAUAUGAGCGCAUGUGUAACGCACGAUCCAGAAACAUGUCUCCGCAUAAAAUUCACUAUCACAUAAUAAAUGUAUUCUAAUUGUUACAAAAAUAUAUUUUAAAAACCGCAACUAAGCAUGUCUUGAAGGUCCAUCUUUUAACAAAACAAGUUCACAUGGUAUAAUACUAAAAUAAUUUUUAUAAAAAAUUCAAAUCGCUACAGAAUGUUGUCAUGUCACUCAAAUUGUAUUUUCAAAAAGUGUGACAUGUUUCUGAUCCAACNNNNNNNNNNNNNNNNNNNNNNNNNNNNNNNNNNNNNNNNNNNNNNNNNNNNNNNNNNNNNNNNNNNNNNNNNNNNNNNNNNNNNNNNNNNNNNNNNNNNNNNNNNNNNNNNNNNNNNNNNNNNNNNNNNNNNNNNNNNNNNNNNNNNNNNNNNNNNNNNNNNNNNNNNNNNNNNNNNNNNNNNNNNNNNNNNNNNNNNNNNNNNNNNNNNNNNNNNNNNNNNNNNNNNNNNNNNNNNNNNNNNNNNNNNNNNNNNNNNNNNNNNNNNNNNNNNNNNNNNNNNNNNNAACAAAACAAGUUCACAUGGUAUAAUACUAAAAUAAUUUUUAUAAAAAAUUCAAAUCGCUACAGAAUGUUGUCAUGUCACUCAAAUUGUAUUUUCAAAAAGUGUGACAUGUUUGAUCCAACACAUGUAUCAUAUCUAUAGUAAAAACAUCUAUUCUAGAUCUAAAUUUUAUUUAGUGAGUUCUUUUACCGAGCCAUUUAAAUGUGUCUUAUGCACGAUAUGAGCGCGUGUGUAAUGCACGAUCCAGAAACAUGUCUCCGCAUAAAAUUCACUAUCACAUAAUAAAUGUAUUCUAACUGUUACAAAAAUAUAUUUUAAAAACCGCAACUAAGCAUGUCUUGAAGGUCCAUCUUUUGAAGCAAUGAAGGUCCAUCUAUAGAUGCGAUCAAUGAUGCUUCGUUCAAUGUAUGGGAUAUUGUUUUGAGCUUCAUUCUCUUCAUACUUUAAAAUAUGCACCAAAAAUUGGUUCCUCAACUGAAAAUCAUCCUACAUAUGCAUUAUACAACAUUGUUAUAGCAAGAUGCAUGUGCAUUGUGUAUACAAAUGAGUGCAUGUAAUUAAAAACCAAAUAGCCGGACAGGGCACUACAUGUAUGAAAUAAACACAUAAUGUGCGUUGAAUGAAUCAAUUAAUAUUGUAAUGCGUUUAAAAGAUUCACACCAGUGUGAGUUUGUUGGAGCAACAAGAACUAAGCAUUCCCAUUUAGAGAUAUCAUCCUUGAAUGCGGGGUUUGCAACUUCAAGCGCAAGGUUUAGGUUGUCGGCCACUAUUUUAAGUACAUUAUUCCCCGAAGUAGGUAUUGGUAAGAGAUCGAAAAUUGAAACAACUUUGUUAUUUUGAUCCAAGAAAUAGCCCAAACAUGUACACAAUGAAAUGUACCUGUGUAGGAAUGUCAGACAAAAUAUCUCCCGUGAAGUACUCCAUAAAGUUUAUCACCCACAUACCACAAGAUGACCUGCAUGAUUACAAAACUUAAAUAUACUCAAUAAAUUUUUAUCAUCUUUAUAGGGAUUCAUAUUAUUUUUAAAAUCAUAAAAUGAUGACUGUAACAAGCAGUCAUGAAAACAAAAAUCUCACCCACACAGCAUGUGAACCGGACAUGCCCUUUGAAAUUUAAAGAUAUUUUUAUUUUGUUUGGAAAAAAUGCCACACUCACUUACAAUGGGUCACUGGCUUACAGUAUUACGUAGUACUUCAUUCAUCUCAAAAUUCUUGUCUUAGGGAAAGGAUGUAUCACGAGGGAGUAGUAUAGUAUAGAGAUUAAAAAAAUCUGAGUCAACCUUCCACCGCCCCUCACGCUUAUCUCUUCCCCAUUCUUCCUCACUUCUCCUAAUCCACUUACAAUGGAGCUCUCUGCUGGCAUCCCCUCCACUUUGCGAUCCCCAUCCACAGCCAAAGCUCUCCGUUGGCCGCACCUCCCCUUCGUCAGCAACGCCGGCGGAGGCGCAGGCCCCUGCUCCGCCCCGCCUCUCCCCCUCGUCACCACCACCGGCGGACGCGCAGGCCCAGCUCUGCCCGCCCCUUCUUCUUAUCUGGUGCCGCCCGGGCCCUCCCUCCUCCUGGCCACGGCGGAGCGCUCGAGCCGGGCAUGCUCGCCGGCGAUGCCGGGGCCCUCCCUCCUCCUGGCCACGGCGGGGCGCUCGGGCCGGGCAUGCUCGCCGGCGACGUCGGGGCCCUCCCUCCUCCUGGCGACAGCGGGGCGGUCGAGCUGGGCAUGCUCGCCCGCGACGCCGGGGCCUUCCCUCGUGCUGAUGCACUCGCCGCCCAGGAACUUCCCUCACCCCCUCCCCGCUGCUAGAGACGCCAUGAAGGUCCGGUUCCAACUCUUCUUCUCCCCUCGAUCGGGAUGCUCUGCUCUUCCACCCCAUCUUCAAUAUCGGAGUAUUGCUCUAGCUGCUGCUGAAUUAACCUGGAUUUCCCUGUUCAUUUCGGUCAGGAGCAGGAGCAGUUGCUGCUCGCGACCUCCUUCUUGAUUAGGAUCACCAAGAUGACCUUGUGUGCUGUGCUGCCGCUCGGGACCCUCCCUAUGCUUCUCCUCGCUCGUCCGGGUCCAGCUUAGUCUCGCCGACCCCAUCGCCUGCUCGUCCCCGUCAAACUGUGCAUAUCUGUAUACUUUCAGCUUGUAUACUUUGACAUGUGCAUACUUUAUUCUUAAUUGUGCAGAAACUUCUUUUGUGAUGCAACUAAUGGGGAAAUACAAAAAAACACAUAAUGCCGAUUGCUUUGAGCCUUUGAGUUAGAAGGUAUACCCAUCUCUGAUAGGCUUCCAUGUAUGUGCCCCUUCCAUACCAGACGUUAGUUCUAAUUCUAUGUCCUUAGCUGCAUCCAUUUGUUCACUUGUUUCAUUGAAGGUUAAUUCCUGGAAGCAACAUUACAAAGAAUAAUGGGUAUGCAUGAUAUAAUAUACUUACAAUUAGACCUAUUUGGGACAUAGUUGGAAAAGAAAAGAUGCCUCUGUCACUUCGAAGUCUUCGGAAUCACUAGAAUGCGUGCUCUGCUUUUUCUCCACUUCUUUGUCGGCUGUUCCAUUUGAUUCUCUCAGCGUGUCCCCUAGAGUGUCUGCCCCUUCGGUGCCAAAUGUCUGUGCUAAUUCCUCAUCCAGAGCUGACUGCAUUUGUUCAAGGUUAAUUCCUGAGAGCAAGAUUACAAAGAAAAAUCAGUAUGCAGGGUUUAAUAUAAUUAUAAUUAGAACUAUUUGGGACAUAUAGUUGGAAAAGAAAAUAUGCCUCUGUCACCUCGGAAUCUGUGGACCGCGUGCUCUUCUUUUUCUCCACUUCAUCUUUGUCGGCUAUUCCAUUUAAUUCUGCAAGCUUGUCCCCUACAGUUUCUGCCCCUUCGGUGUCGGAUGUUUGUGCUAAUUCAUUGUCUUGAGCUGGCUGCAUUUCUUCACUUGUUUCCUUGACGGUUAAUCCCUGAGAGCAACAUUACAAGGAAUAAUCCAUAUGUAGUAUUAUAAUAUAAUGAGAAUUAGAACUAUUUGGGAUAGUUGAAAUAGAAGCAUGCCUUUGCCACUUCGCAAUCUGUGGCUGGUGUGCUCUUCUUUUUCUCUACUUCAUCGCCGUCGUCUAUUCCAUUUGAUUCUUCCUCGCUGCGUACCUGAAACACACAUAAUAUAAUAUUACCUGGUACUUAUUGAUUCUUCAUUGCUUAGUAACUAAAACACACGAUAAUAUAAUAUUCUCCAAUACUUAUAAAAGAGCAAAUAUUAUGAAGACGAAUAAAGAAUCGUAGGUAUGAUAUUAUUAUACUACAGAUUACAUAUUGUUUUGUCCCUCCUGCAUAAGAAUAAUAAUAAUGGCAUGUGAAAUUAAAAACCGCCUUUGUCAGCUUGGGGUUUGUAUGCUUGUGUUAGGGUAUCAACUCAUCAAUCUGCAUAUUUUCUGUAUCUUCCAUGAUGCCUUGUUCUUCUAUUGCCUUUGUUGACUUGGUGUUCAUAUCCUCAUCUUUGGUUAUCAUGCAUUCAAUCUGCAUAUUUUGUGUAUGCUCGUCCUUCGCUCCUUUGUUGAUGUUUUCCUAAAAAUCAAAGCAUAUAUUAUUAUCACGCGGUACACAUUCAGCCCUUAUGUUUUGUUAGCUUGAAAAUCGAUCUUAUAUGUUGGGACGUAGGGAGUACAUCACAACUGUAUGCACAUAUUUGCUUAUGUUUACUUAACAUAGUGGUAUCAGGACAUCCUUUCCAACUAAAUUUCACUAUCUAUUUCUUUUUUUAAUUGUUCAGUCAACUUUUCGAGACUAACUUGCGUGACUAUUCUCUCUAGUAAUCAGGUGGAAAGGACGGCAGCAAUAUGCUUAUUUUGCUCGCGGGCUUGUCAUUGUCGCUUUAAUAUUCCCUCUCUAUUUUGUGCAUACCGCUCCCUUUCCAUCCAAUUCUUAAUCUCAUCAUGGCCUGAGUAGAUGAAGCAUAGAUCAUUAUAUAGCAAUAUAACUGGGCCAUGUAGGAUGAAGUUCAUGUUCAUUACCUUGUGAUACAGCCAGCUGUGUUUGUGCCCCACUGCUCUCGGCAGAGGCAAUUUUCUUCUGUUUAUAGGCCUCACGUCGUCUCUUAUUAAUCUCAUCCUUGUUUUGUGCAUACCGCUCUCUAUCCCCAUGCCUUUUUACUUCUUUAGGGUCUGCAAUCAAUGGCACAAUUCAGCAGUUGAGCUACAAAAACUGAAAUUGAGUGCUUGUGUAAUGCUCAUCACCCAAGGACUGGGUGUUGCUUAUAUCCUGGAACGGGUGCGCGUCCCAUUGGGAUUGGUCGGGACCAUACGAAGUCCUUCAACCCUGUGAAUGUCAAGAAUGUAUCACACAAUUGUAACGGAAGGAAUAGUAUUAGCACAACGCAGACAGAGUACAGUUUUAUGUUCAACUUCAUCCCACUGUUUACCAUCAAAGCUUUCUUAAUUAUGGUGCCUCUGCAACCAAUUGAAUUCAUUUUGCACUAUUCAUGUAGGUAUAUCUCAGGGUGACUUUAUUUGUGUUCAUAUAAAUUGGAACUGAGCAUUGAACGAUCCAUAUGCAGCUUCAUGAGGCAUUUAGGUGAAGUCAGUACAAUGCUCAUUUGCCAAGGACUCAUGGAACGACGUCAGGUUUAGGUGAGGUACGCACAUCAGGAAUCAUGUUAGCAUGUGGUCAUGCCAUAAGUCACCAGUUCCUACAUUUUCCUUCUAUAAUUGCUCUUGUUUUUCAUAAAUUCAAUCAAAGCAAUUGAUGGAUCACAUGAACAGGUUGACAAAUGAGCAUGCAUCUGCGGAGCAGAGGGGUCUUCUAGCCUAACAAAGUCUUGGUGGCAGCGGCGUGUAAAAGACUUACGGACUUCAGAUCAGAGAAGACCAUGCACCUGUGCCGGCGAAGAGCUCGUCAUCGCCGCCAUGGCAGGGCGCCUGGGCGGCUGCACCCGUGUUGGGGAAUAGCUCGCCGUCGUCGGGUGACUCGGCGAGCUCGUCGUCGCGGCCGUCGUCGGGUGCCUCGGCGGCUGCGCAGGGCAGCGAUGGCGCACGUAAGCUGGACGCCUGGAUUGAUUCCGUGGAUAUACUCCCGCUGAGUUAGCACAUUUGUUUCCGUAUAUGACUCUCCGUGUAAAUUGGACGUGGGAUGUAUCCUUUCUGCGGGCGUGGGAUGUUUCCUGGUGUGGGCGUUGCCAGAGUUUUCGUCCGCCCUGGAAAUCUGCUAAACGCACUUCAGUUGUGGGUUGGUGUAAUCGUGAUGGCUAGAUCUAAUUAAGCGAUUUGAUCGUGAGGCUCCAAUUGAUCGGGAAUGUUAUGUGUAGAUUAGGCUGGGUGUGUUUAGCGUUGAAUAUGUUCUCUUGUUUAAUAGUAGUAGAGAUGAUCCACCUUUCCGCUGUUCCUAUGCAAUGCUCGGCAUCAAUGAUAAAUGACACAAGUUUUAUGUUGGUUUGGCUCAAUCUAUGUAAGAUUCCUUGUCGAUUGAUCACAGCUAAGUUUUCACCCUGGAAUGGCUACAAAAAUUACGUUUUUCAUGGAAUGGGUACGAAAACGUACGUCACAUGCAUACUGUGCAAGUAAACUCAUGUCGCAUGCAUACUGCAAAGGAUGCAUUGAGCGUGGCUAGUGUUGUAAGUUUGGGUGGCUAGUGUUGUAAGUUUGGGUCACACGUGGGUUGGUGUCGUAAGUUUACAUCACAGGUGGGCUGGUGUCGUAAGUUUACCUCACAAAAAAAAAUACACCACAUGCAUGGGUGCGUGGAUGGUUCGGCUAUAUUUGCUUGUCGUAAGUUUACGGCAGAUUAGACACCUUUGCUUGUCGUAAGUUUACGACAGCUUAGACAAACAGGUUCCCAGGCGUGCAAGUUGGCUGCAAUUCUUCACCCUGAGUGACGAAUAGCGCGACCCUAUAUAUAUAUAUAUAUAUAUAUGGCUGGACUAUUGUGUUACCCGUAACAGAAUAUACCCUCCACCCUAUAUAGGAGCGAUACGACUGAUCAGACACCGACCGGCCCGACUAGAAAAAAAACCACCCGUCCCUGCUACCCACAACGAGCCGUCGCUGCCCUGCCACCUUCCCCUGCCGCGCCACCUCCCCCCGCCGCGCUGCCGCACAACCACCUUCCCCCACCGCGCCACCGCCCCCACCUUUCCCCUCGGCCACCGCCCCCCAGCGCGCCUUUGGUCGGCCUUGCCUCUAGCACGCCGCCGCCCGACCUCCUCUCCCAAUUGUGCCGCCGGCGGGCCUUCUUCCCAUCGCGCCGCCGUCCAACAUUCUCCCCGAGCACGCCGCCGCCCGGAUUCCUCCCCACCGCGCCGCCGCCCGGACUCCUCUCCACCGCGCCGCCGCCCGACCCUCUCCACAUCGCAGGCAGCGUCUUCGUUCUUCUCCGGACGCCUCCCCCCCUCCAACCUCCUGCAUCUCGCGCUGCCCCCAUGUCUCCCGGUUCCCACACCACAAUGCCGUCUCCCGGUGGGACUCCGCCGCCGAAGCGCCCUGUCCGUUCACAUCCACCACUCCAGUCCGUUCAACGCCACCACCCGAACCGGUUCACCACCUUCCUCCACCGCCCCUCCUCUUCUUGGUGUAGCCAGCGGUGCUCUGCCCCUCUUUUGCUUCCCCUGUCAAUCUCAGGAACUCCUCGCAGGUGGUUGCUCAUCCAUCGUGUGAUGGCAUAUACUCAACUGAAUGCUCACCACUGUUCAAACUGUAGCGCUAAGAAUUUGUUCUCUCUUCUAUGAAAUUUUAUUGCAUGUUCGCUUACCUCUCUUCUUUCUGCAGUAUUCUUCGACGCCUUUCGGCCUCUGUCACCGCCGCUCCCUGAACUGCUAUCCGCUGCACAAGCAACAUACUGGGCCGUUCAACUUCCUGCCGCUGGCGCCGUGGGUCACCACAAAAUCGAGGUCGCUGCCCCUUGGCUCUUGCUGCUCUCGCCGCAGAUAUUUUAUGCCAGUAAGGUGUUUGUGUUAAUGGCUGAAAAGAGAAGAAUUUUUUGCCCCUGAAUUAUGUUUUGUGUUAGGAUGGCUAGUGACAUUGGAGAAUAAGUGGAGUACAAAUCUAAUUUUCUUGGAGGUUCAUUGUGUCUCUGUCGAGCAGUACAUUCUCUGAAUUAAGUCUGAUGUAAUUGGUUAAUGAAAACAAAACAAUUGUUCAAAUGUGCAUUAUAGAAAACAAUUCAUACAAAAAAGCAGUCAAGUAUUGUUGUAAAUUACAAAACAAUAGUCAGUUUUGUUUACAAAAAAGUUCACCACAUAAAAAAUGCAACAGUAGUUCAACACAAUAUACAGGAGGGUGUGAGUUGGAUAUGUUUACAAACUAAAGAUAUGUGUCAAAGAGUUCACUUCAUCUUCAGAGCAUUAGAUUCCCAAAAAGUAGAAUGGUUGAGCUAGUUCAGUUUUUUCAGUCCAUCUUUUGUGUGCUAUUCGGUUCAUCUAAUUCUGAAUCGUAAGUACAAUUCCCUUUAUGUUUUGCAUCUUCAUAUAACACAAAACAGGCACCGGAGGAUAAGGUGAGAAUAUAUACUAAUAAAAUGUGUGGUGGCAUUGUCCACAUUUUGAAUUUAAACCACUAGCUUUUUUAUACACAAGGGCUUGCCCUGGGAGAGCCUAUAUAUGCAUGAGCACUAUUGCUACAAACUUUAAUCCCCCAUUUUCCGGCCUGCAGAGCAUUAGAAAAAAAAUUCAAUUUUGGAAAUUCAUUCAGUUCUCUGGUUAGUAGACUAGUGGUUCAUCUUGCUAAAUCUUGUGGUUUAAAGUUUCUUUUUUGUUACAACAGUUCAGUGUGUAUUUUAAGAAAAAAAACCAACAAUGGCGGCUGCAUUGAAGCCGCAUGACUACUAUUGCUGAUAGGUUUGUGAACUAAUAAACAUUCUUUUUAUGUUCCUGUGAUGUUUCAUAUUUUUGUGAACUGAUAGUUGAUGCUCUUUGUGGACUGAUAGCUGAUACUUUUUGUUAACUGAUAAACUGAAUAAAUGAGAUGGAUGUAUUAUCAGGCCGUGAAAAUGAUGUAAAAAAUAGGUGCAAUUCAGCGGAUGAGUAUUAUGUAUGUCCUUCUAAUCUGAAGGUAGUGGCACCACUAAGAAAAACAAAAUAAUCAAUUUUUUGUAGCCACGGAAUGGGCAUUUGGCCCAGUAAUCUUCCAUUGCUAGAGGUACCGCCUCCUGAGUUAAUUUAUGAAACUGAAAUCAUCCUUUUUAUGUUUUUGUGUUGUCAAAUAAAACCAAUUUUUUUGGACACGCAGCGCUCAAGCCGUUCACCCUUACCACCACAAGUCGUUCACCUCCGCCACACGAGGCCGUGCGACGAUGCAACUAUCAGAACGUUCAUCUCUGCCACAGAAGGCCGAUGUAACACUAAGAAUGUUUUGUUCUUUUUCAGUACAUGUUUUGUGUGCUUUUUAGUACACCUACUUAACGAUUCUAUGUCCAAUUUCCCCUGUUUAAGUGUUCUUCAUAUAGCACAUUAGGAGUUGUGUGUUAUGCUUAAUAAGCAUUUGAGAAACCCUUGUAUGGAUCGAAACUAGCAUAUGUUCUGUUCUAUUCUUGUAAAUGAAGCUCCACUUUUAUUUUGUUUGAGGUUACUUGACAUAAAAAUUAGUAUAUGUUCUAUUGUAAAAACAUAUCUGAUGCAUGCUAGCAGAAAUCUGAAAAUACACUUAGUUCAGUUCCUAUAUUUUAUUUCACUUCAAUUUAGAACUAUUUGCAACUGUUCAAACUCGAGUGUUCCUAUAUUUUAUGUCAGUUCAAUUUAGAAGUAUUUACAAUUGUUCAGACUUGAGUUUACAACGGAAAAACAUUUGGAAGUCUAGCGAGCAAAAAUACUCGUUAGAUUCUUUUAAAAAGUGUCAUAUAGUUCAACUUUUAUAUAUAAUAAAUUCAUAAUGAAAUGUGGGAACAAUUCAAUAUGUGUGUGUGUUAAAAACAUAACAGUACAGAGAAAUUUGGUACGUACUCGUCGAACAAAAUUGCAUUAGUUCGAGAGGCAAGGAAAAGAUAAUUUGGUGCCAAUAAAGUUCGAGGGAAAAACAACUUUAGAAGGAAACAUGAGAAGCUCACAAAUUAAUUCUGUGACAUUGACGUCCAAGUUCUACAACUGAUCCGUACAAACAAAAACGGUGGUCCGUUCUACAAAGGAAAAUUCGUUUAAUUAAAAAUAUUAAUCAGUACAAGUUAAAAACGGUGGUCCGUUCGAAAUAAAAGAAAUGACAGAAAUUCAAAUUGUAAAAGUUCAAGCAAAAGGAAACCCUAUGCAAUUCAAAUGGUAAAAGUACAAGUCAUAAAAUAAGAGAAGUCCAGAACAUCGUUGUAAAAAAAUGUUUAGUUCAAAAAAAGAAUAAAAAACAUUUUAUUUUUGAAAAAAAAUAUCAUUCAGCUCGAUGAUAUAAACCAUGCAAGUACAGGACCGACGAUACAAUAGCAUUCAGUUCAACAAUAUAAACCAUGCAAGUUUAGGGCUAGGAUACAGUAAACCGUUGAAAAUUUACGAGAAAAAUAAUACCCAAAAAACAGAGAAAAGUCUAGUUAGUGAAAACACGCUUAGUACAAACCCAUGCAAGCAUCAGUACAAGUACCAUUUUCCGGAAUUAUUUAAAAUUACUUUACAAAAAAUAGCUCAGUACAAACAUACACAUAUAUCAGUACGACUAUUCUGUUUUUCAGACGAGAAAACAGCAGGAUCCGUCAUGUCGUAUUCAAGAUUACUCUUAAACGGUUGCAAAGUAGAGAAAACGUCCAACAUGACUAAGUUUCACAUUUUCGAUAACUGUCCAACGAUAUGUUAUUUGCCCCAUUUCGACAAACUUUUCAAAAAAACCGCGUUCAGAACCAAUUUUAACCAUAUUUGAAUUCGUAUUUAAACCGUAAGGAGUUAGAAAAAAACUUUCUAUACGCAAAAGUUGCGCAUUUUCCAUAGCUUUCAAACGCCGUAUAAUUUGUGUCAAUUCGACAAACCAUUUGCAAAAAACAAUGAAAAUACAUUUCGCCCAGAAUUUCACCGUUUUCCAAAUUACUUUUAAAUCAUACAGAAUUUGAAAAAAUAGUAGAUAUAUGGAAGAUGCGGAUUUUCACAAGCUUUCCAACGCCAUUUCAUUUGCUCAAUUCCAACAAACCGUUUGAAAAUCAAGUCCAAAAUACGAUUCACGUUUUCGGUUUUGAAAAAACGGUUUUUUCAAAACUGCUCUUAAAUCAUAAUUUUUUUGGAAAAAAAUAUUAUAAGAUUGUAAUGUAGAUGUCAAGAGCUUUCCAACGAUAUAUUACACGCCCCAUUUUGACAAAAAAAUUAAAAAAAUUGAACAAAAAAAGACGAUUUUAACCGCAAGAGAAAGCAUCAAUUUAACCGCUCGAAUUUCAUCAGUUAAACAGCUUGAAUUUAUUAGUUCAAGUAGGGUAACAGAAUAAUAUUCUGUUACGCGUAACAGAAUAAUAUUCUGUUACGCGUAACAGAAUAGCCCAGAUGUAUAUAUAUAUAUAUAUAUAUAUAUAUAUAUAUAGGGCUGGACUAUUUUGUUACCGGUAACAAAAUAUUAUUCUGUUACCCUCAGUCCCUAUAAGGGCGCGACGCGCAGACGACACGAGAAACUCCCCGACCCAUCCCCAAUCGAACCCGCCUCNNNNNNNNNNNNNNNNNNNNNNNNNNNNNNNNNNNNNNNNNNNNNNNNNNNNNNNNNNNNNNNNNNNNNNNNNNNNNNNNNNNNNNNNNNNNNNNNNNNNNNNNNNNNNNNNNNNNNNNNNNNNNNNNNNNNNNNNNNNNNNNNNNNNNNNNNNNNNNNNNNNNNNNNNNNNNNNNNNNNNNNNNNNNNNNNNNNNNNNNNNNNNNNNNNNNNNNNNNNNNNNNNNNNNNNNNNNNNNNNNNNNNNNNNNNNGCACGCCUCACCGCCGACGGGCUCGCCGGCCCCUCCCCGCGCGCCUUCCCUCCGACGGGCGCCGCUCCCUUCAUGCGCACCUCCCCAUCGACGGCUGUCGUGGCCCGUCCCCGCCUCCGGCGGCUGCCACGCGCCGUCUUAGCCUCCCUCCGCCGCCGCGCCCCGCGUCGUCCCAGCCGCUAGCCAAAUCCAGCUGCGCUCUCGAGAUUCGUCUUCUUCCUCACUGAGACACUCGACAGCCACCCUAGUUCGGUCGUAGUAAGUACCUCAGUACGAGUUAAAAAUGGUGGUCCGUUCGGAAUAAAAGAAAUGGCCGAAAUUCAAAUUGUAAAAAUCCAAGCAAAAAAAGAAAUCCCCAUGAAAAUCCCGCUUAGUAAGUACGUCAGUACAAGUCAUAAAAUGAGAGAAGUUCAGAACAUCGUUGUCAAAAAAAUGUUGAGUUCAAAAAAGAAGAAGUGUACAGACUGUAGCUUAGCAUUUGAUAAUUGUUUGCAACAUGUACAACCACUCGAUGAUUAUGUAAUUGUUUUCAUGCGUUACCGUAUGUCCAACAGUUCAGUAUGUAUUUUAUAAUCAGUUCAACCCCCUGAACAUUCCGGAUUGUGAAAAAUAGCUCAGUACAAACACGCACAUAUAUCAGUGCGAGUACUUUGUUUAUCAGACGGGAAAAGAACAGGAUGUGUCUUGCCGUAUUGAAAACUUUUUAAAUAAAUACAAAGUAAGUCUAGUAUGUGGAAACACGCUCAGUACAAAAUCAUAUAGACAUCCAUUCAAGUACUUUUUUGGAACCAUUCAAAACUACUGUGAAAAAUAUCUCAAUACAAACACACAAAUAUAUCAGUACGAUUACUCUAUUUUUUUUGGAGGAAACACACCAUGAUGGGUGUCACCGUAAUCCAAAUUACUAUUUAACGGCUGCAAAUAUGAGAAAACGUUCAGCAUGACUAAGUUUCGCAUUUUCGAUAGCUAUCCAACGGUAUAUUAUUUGCCCCAUUUCAAUAAACUUUUAAAAAAAUCGCAUUCAAAAUCAAAUUUGACCGUAUUCGAAUUUGUUUUGAAACCGUAAGUAAUUAGAAAAACAUUUAAAUACAAAAAAGUUGCGCAUUUUCCGUAGCUUUUCAACGCCGUAUUAUUUGUGUCAAUCCGACAAACCGUUUGCAAAAAAUCGUGAAAAUAUGUUUCGCCUAGAAUUUCACCGUUUUUCAAAUUAUUUUUAAAUCAUAUUGAAUUAGAAAAAACAAUACAUAUAUGAAAGAUGUGGAUUUUCACCAGCUUUCCAACGCCAUCUUAUUUGCUCAAUUCCGACAAACCGUUUGAAAAUUGAGUCCAAAAUACGAUUCACGUUUGGUUUUGAAAAAAACGAUUUUUUUCAAAACUGCUCUUAAACCAUAAUGAUUUUGCAAAAACGUUCAAUAUACUUGAAAUAUGGUUGUCAAGAGCUUUCCAAUGAUAUAUUACACGCCUCGUUCCGACAAAAAAAUUAUAAAAAGUUUUUGAAUUAAAGAAAACGAUUUGUUAAACACAACUGAAAGCGUCAGUUCAACUUCUUCGAAAACAUUAGUACAACCACCUGAAACUGUCAGUUUAAAAAGGGUAACAGAAUANNNNNNNNNNNNNNNNNNNNNNNNNNNNNNNNNNNNNNNNNNNNNNNNNNNNNNNNNNNNNNNNNNNNNNNNNNNNNNNNNNNNNNNNNNNNNNNNNNNNNNNNNNNNNNNNNNNNNNNNNNNNNNNNNNNNNNNNNNNNNNNNNNNNNNNNNNNNNNNNNNNNNNNNNNNNNNNNNNNNNNNNNNNNNNNNNNNNNNNNNNNNNNNNNNNNNNNNNNNNNNNNNNNNNNNNNNNNNNNNNNNNNNNNNNNNNNNNNNNNNNNNNNNNNNNNNNNNNNNNNNNNNNNNNNNNNNNNNNNNNNNNNNNNNNNNNNNNNNNNCUUUUUUUUGAUACGUUCUAGGUAGUAUCUAUCAUAUUGGAGACUAUGUACACGUAGCAUGUAUUAUAUAAGAAUGUUUAGGUAGUAUAUAUACUACUUUUUUGGUAGUAUGUAUCAUAUUUUGUGCAUACUCUAUUUUGCAUAUAAAUAUGUACGUAUUUCAUAAAUACAAUAAAACCAUGAGCUCACUUGAAAUUUUUUCAUAUAACUUACUUUGGAGUAUCUUAGAUGUAGUAUAUAAACAUAUUAAAAAUAAUAAAAGUAGAGUAUAUACUACCACAUGGUAGUAUAUGAGAAAUGGGUGUAGCUACAUCCGGUAGUAGAAUGCAUUUUCCCUAUAUAUAUAUACUCUACUUUAUUAUUUUUAGUAUGUUCACAUACUAUAUCUAAGAUACUCCAAAGUGAGUUCGAUGAAAAAAUUGCAAGUGAGCCCAUAGUUUUAUUGUUUUUGUGAAAUACAUACAUAUUUGUAUGUGAAAUGGAGUAUGCACAAAAUAUGAUACAUACUACCAAAAAAGUAGUAUAUAUACUACCUAUACAUUCUUAUAUACUACACACUACGCGUACAUACUCUCCGAUAUGAUAGAUACUACCUAAAACGCAUGAAACAAAAAUGGGAGUAACUACACCCGGUAUUAGGAAAAAAUCGUUAUAUAUAUAUAUAUAUGGAAAAUCCAUCCUACCACCCGGUGAUAGUUACCCCACAUGUCUCAUAUACUAGCAUAUCGUACUAUAUAUACUAUUUUAUUAUUUUAAAUAUUUUCAUAUACUAUAUUUAAGAUAUUUUAAAAUAAAUUACAUGAAAAAACUACACAUGAGCCCAUAGUUUUUGUUAUAUUUGUGAAAUACGUACAUAUUUGUAUGUAAAAAAGAGCAUACUCAAAAAAUAAUACAUACUAUCUAAAAAUUUGUAUAUAUACUACCUAAUCAUUAUUAUAUACUACAUACUACACGUACAUAUUCUCGGUUUCGACAGAUACUACAUACAACAUACAAAACGCAAGAAUAUUAACCGAUCUAUUCUGCUAAUAUUAAUAGAAUAGUUAUUAUGAUAACACUUCAGCACUGCAUGCUUAAUAGAAUCGCACUGUAAUAUUUUGACGACAAGCACUGCAAUACAAACUAGUGAACUUCGCGUUAAAAAAAAUUGCAUGCAGUAUUUUUCUGGUACUGUUUUUGUUCUAGUUUUUUAACCGUUUAUCGAAACAAGGCGUAUAAUAUACCGUUGGAAAGCUAUGGAUUAGGCGCAACUUCGCCAUGUUGAACACUUUUCGAAAUUCCUUGCGGUUUAAGAGCAGUUUCAAAAACGGCGCGACGGACGACGAGUGGCAGCGAGCGUGUUUUCGCGAUUUUUCUAAACCAUUCAUCGGAAUAAAGCAAAUGAUACGCCGCUGGAAAUAUAUGAUCGAGGCGCAUAUUUUUCAUAUCUAUUAUUUUCUGUAAUUCAUUACGGUUUAAGAGCAUUUUUAAAUUUGCUAAAUCGCGGAAUUCUGUUUUUUGAAUUUUUAGCAAUUUUCAUACUGUUUUCGCUCCAGUUUUUGAACCAUUUACCGAAACAAGGCGUGUGAUAUGCCGUUGGAAAGCUACGAACGAGGUACAACUUUCAUAUGUUGGAAUGGUUUUGAGAAUCCGUAUGGUUUUUAGUUAAUUUUGAAAAUCGUACGGCUGACGAUGAGAGGCAGCGGGCAUUUUUUUGUGAAAUUGUCACAAACCGCUGGUUGAAAUGAUUCAAAUUACACGCCGAUGGAAAGAUAUCAACGAGGCGCGACUUUUUCAUGUAACACACUCUCUCUAAUUCCUUACGGUUUAAGAGCAGUUUUGAAAUUACCGAAAUGCGGGUACUCUGUUUUUCGCGACACCUAAAUCGACAUGGGUACUUCAUCCGACUGAAAAUCGCACUGCAUCAUACGCAAAACCACACUUCAUCGGACAAACAACUGCACUGCAUGAUUUCUUUUUUGUGGGACGUAAAUUUUCUUAAACGAGGUGGAGUGCAUUUCAUGUCGAGUGUUGGUGAACCACAAUACUAUGAAAAGUGAACCUCGAGACUAACAUAAACGAGCCGUACUACAGAAAACCCCACUUAUUUAGACUAAAAGCCGCACUUCAUUGGACAGACAAGUGCACUGCAUGAUUUCUUUUUUGUAGGACGUAAUUUUUCUUUUUUUGUGGGACGUAAAUUUUCUCAAACGAGAUGGAGUGCACUUCAUGUAAGUGUUGGUGAACUGCAAUACUAUGAAAAGUGAGACGUAAUUUUUCUUUUUUGUGGGAUGUAAAUUUUCUCAAACGAGAUGGAGUGCACUUCAUGUAAGUGUUGGUGAAACGCAAUACUAUGAAAAGUGAACCUCGAGACUACCAUAAACGGGUUGCGACACUACCGAAAGUGAACCUCGUGGAUUGAGCGAAAGAACUACAUGUAAUGAGAAGCGAGCUUCUUCCAUUGUUUCAAGGUACCAAGUGAACCACAAAGGAAUUUUAUAGCUAACUGCAUGAGAGAACGAAGUGAGAUUCAAAACAUACAUAUCCACUCAUUAUUUUUACACAGCCACACAAACAUCCAGUACACAGCAGAAUCGACGACACAAUACCCAACUAAAUUACACUAGCCAAAAACUUGCUUAUACAAAAUGACCAUACAUUCUUAUUACUCUUUUUCUCUCUGCGUAUCUCAUAAACAAAAUGGACUACAUAUGAACAUUGAUGUUCUCUUCUCUUUUCUUACUGAGUGCACCUCAAAUGAUUUCCAGAAGAAAAAAAAACGUGAGAGGCAAAACAACACACGUCAGCGAUGGUGGAUUGCUCACUGCAAAACAACACACGUCAGCGACGGUGGAUUGCAGUAUGGCCACUGGCAAACCGCAGGGGCAUGCAUGAUUAGCUGGCGAACCCCAAGUGCACGCUAGGGGAGCUGCAUGUUCUGUUGUGCCUGAGUUGCACAUUUUGCUUGCGGAAGCGCAUGGGCUACGCAC
rnacentral:lncRNA from 1 species